CGUUGAGGACUUCAACUUGUACGUCGGUGAUUUUCAGGUUUUCUUUGAUGAAGAGUGACGCUCCACUCAUCACACCAAUAUCUGUAUGUAAAAAUGACAUCAACGUGCAUUGCACGCGGAGAUCAGACAACGUAAUAACACACAUGAAAAGGAAAAAAAUACCAAAAGAAAAAUCCACAUGCAUGAGGUAAAUGGACAAUUAAAUUUACCAUAGCCCAGCAAGAUUGAAGUCAUUGAAGCCAAAGUGGCACAGGCAAUAGCGAACUUCUUUGUCUUCGGGGCCUUGGGGGGAUCAAAGUCCGCAAUAGUCUUCUGGCCUGAGGCUUCAGUAUUUUGAGGUUUCCGGUCAGCCAUCUCCAUUGUUAGAGCUAGCUAGAGAUCGAUAGACAAAUAGACAGACAGAACACAGAGAGAUCACUUGUCAAUGAAAGAAUAUGCUAUUACUCGAGAAUUUUAUUCAUUCACCAAGGUGCUGUUUUUUGUUUUGGGAAUAGGAUUUGGAUCUUUUGUUUUCAGAACACAAGCUCUCAAGUGCUGAACAAUUCGCCAGUACUCUGCUAACUUGCGUUUAUUUGGAUUUGUGAUGAUUUGUAUCUUACGAAGGAAGGUGGGUAAGAACCAAGUUAACUGAUGAUAUGUCUGCAUGCAGGCUCCCCUUAUAAACAUUCCGAAACGAGUAAGUUACGGACUAAAGCAAAACAAAUUCCAACUUUGUGUCGGGAGAUCCGUUCUUACAGUUCCGCUGUUGUAUGAAGACCAAUUGAUUUUUUCUUCAACUUACCAAGAAAUAGAUUUAAUUUUAGUGUUUUCUUAUAUUUUUAAUCCAACACCGAUGUAAAGGUUACUAUUUUGGUAAUUAAUCAUUGAUUUACUCAUGUAGUGCCAGCGAGGGUUAAUUUUGUGCAAAGUAUUCUUAAUUUUUUGUUUCUUUAAUCACAUAGAUAGAUAGCUUUGUAUCUUCCACAGGGGGCAUAUAUUGCGUUACGAACUGUUUGGACCUGAAAUGCAGGCUGAAGCCGAGAAUGGGCCAGCCGAGUUGAAAGGCCAUAAUUUGCGGUCCAUUAAUGAUUCUAGGCCAGUGGGCUUUUGGCCCAAGAGAAUUUUAAUUCCAUCGAGUUCCUAUAGGAGCAGGACUGUUGAAGGAUCAUGUUCAGGCGUGGCUCGGUCGAGUCUUAAAUGAAUUAAAAUUACCAAGGAUCAAGAUGAGUUAUGAUAGAUGCGAAUUACUCUAGGAAUCGGAACUCAUGCUUGACCAGAUAAGGAAGUUAGCAUUAUUAUUUUUAGAAGUUCAGAAUCUAAUAUAAAGGCUAGAGGGAUUGUUCAAGAUCUAUGUUUCACUAAUGGUGAAAACCAAAAGUUUUCAAAAAUUUUCAAUUUCACUACCAAACAAGUUUUUCGGUCUUAAUGAAAAUUACUCUAAUAGAUGCUUCAUACAAAAUAAUAAUUGAAGUUGUUUUGAGUAGGAUAUCAAACAGAUAUAAGUACAAUUGCAUAUAUCCGAAAUAUAUGAGAUAAAGGAAUUGAUCAUCAUCAUAAAGUGCAUUAAACAUUGCCCUUCUAUUCCUAAUGGAUUUGAACCUUGUUGUCGUCACCAAUACCAUGAUCAGCUUGCUUAGUCUUGUUAAGCAUGGCAUUGGCUUCUCUCCACUUGUGGUAUUUACCAAACAAGACCUCCAUAUCUUCAAGGGAUUGACCCUGCAUUUCUGGAUACAACGUAUAAAAGAAGACCCAACUAAGCGCAGCGAUUCCCGCGUAAAGAAAGAAGGCCCCACCAAUCGUGAUGGCCUUAUACAAUGAAAUAAAAGUCUUUGAGAUGACCCCGCUCGUCACCCUGUUCACAGCCACCCCCAUAUUGCACCCUUGUGUGCGCAACUGUAACAGAAAGAUCUCAGAGCUGUAAACCCACGUGAUGGGUCCCAACCCGAUGGAGAAAAAAGCAACGAUGAACAGUACCAUGGCGAUGCACAACCCGACGGCCCACAGGACCUUGCUGUGGGAUUGAUCAACGACCGUAAGACCCACACCAAGCAGCGUAAAAGAAACUACCAUUCCACCCACCCUGCUCAAAAGCAAAAUACGACGUCCGAAUGGAUCAACUUGAAAUGUUGCCACCAAGAUUGCAAUGGUCUUGACAAAUCCAACAGCCACAGUUGCAAGCAUCUUGUCAUUGUAAGAAGUGAUUCCCGCCUUCUCGAAGAUCCUGGGGUUGUACAAAACCACAUAGUUUAUACCCGACAAUUGUUGAAAGAAGUGGAUACCAAGGGCUGCUAUUAAAAUGAGACGCACUGCCGGUGUGGGACAGAGGAGCAAUUCCUUCCAUAUACCUUCACCUAAUUGGCUGCGUUUAGAAACCUGAACGACCUCAUCCUUUCAGUAUUUGGGGAUUCCUGCAGCUUCUUUAAUCUCGUCUAGUCUGAGCUGCGAUUCCUAUUCAGAAUAUGAUGUUUUAUUUAGGACUCGCUUGGCGUCUCCGAGUCUCCCUUGCAUGAUGAGCCAGCGUGGCGACUCAGGAAUGGAGCCUAAAAUAAUCUCAACAAUUCUAGAAGCGACAUGUGGACUUUUAUUCAAGAAUGACAAGAUUAUCCUCAAUAAAUGGGCAGGUUUCUCAGAUGCUCCCACACGUAGCUCACAUCCCUGGAGGGCUCAUCAGCAGAACACAACUGCCCACAACUCACCUGCCCUUGGCAAAUAAUUAAAGAUAAGGAUUAAUUACCCAAAUCCUAUCUUUAAUACAUUCCUAAUUGAAGAUUAACUCAAAUCAAGAAAGUAAUCACCAUUUAAAUCAAAUCGGGAUAAUUACCCAUUAUCUUAAUAUAUUAUUUCCUAUUAAAUAUCUUGGGAAUAUUUAGAGAAUAUUUCUCCAUUAAACACUAUAUGGCAGGCCCUAGCCCUAUAAAUACCUCAUAUUCUAUCAAAUUUUGAGAGCUUUGCAACCCUAAAAAAGCCCUAAACACUUUACUCUCUCAGAGAAACUAACUUAGGUAUCGGAGAUCCGUUGACCUAAACCCCCCCCCACCUCGUGGGUGAGUGAGGCUUAGGUCUUUGAUCAAAGGUGUUGAUUAUUUUGCAGGUGCAUUUGGUCAAGACUGAAGACGGCGGAAAUUUGCAUCAACAAAUUGGUGCUUUCAUUGAGAGCUAAUUCAAAAUACUCAAAGAAGCCUCUCGUAUUAGUUUCUUGAAUUUUCUUACGUUGAAAUUCUCACACGUUGUAUCAAUUAAUUUUUCCUAGAAAAGUUUCUUGAUCAAUCCCUGGAGAAAGGAUACAAUGGUAGGAAAUUCAUAAACUACGACGAAAUGAACCUUAUACGUGGAAGGAUUUGGACCCGAGAGUAGAAACGAGGACAUAGCCCCACAACGGAGAUCCUUAAGGCUCAACGCGAUGGCAGGAGGAGCCCCAUCGUCGUGGAGCCACGCCACCACCAUCACUACAGUGACCCAGCAACCACGGCAUCCAAGCCCAUGGGUAGGAGGCCCAUAACUUAGCAGCUGCCACAGCAAGCCCUGGGCAGGAGGCCCAGCCUAAUGCAGCAGCAGACCUUGUUACACAGCAGGCCCAAACCCGAGCCUAGAAUUCGGUAGCUGUUGCCAGCCAGGUAGCUCAACGGGCCCAAGCCCAAGCCACUCAGCCAGCAGGCCAAGAUGUGGCAGCCCAACGGCCCUGAAGGCUCACGGCCAUGCAGAUCUAAGGCGAGCAGGCGCUGGCCCAACGCGUCCCUCGACCCGCUUCGAUAAUCUGGCCUGCGACCCAAUCCAUUCCGAGGCCAUCUCCAGUCCAGAUUCUGACCACCGGUUCUGCGAUCCAUUCAGGGUUACUUAGACCACACUUUUUUGCAGGAAUGCCCGCUUUGGGCUCAAGCUUUGUACCUACAGUCCACUAUACUUCCACCACACAUGGAGAUGCCCAUCAUCCAAGCUUUUCCAAUCCAAAUGGCGAGCACCACCUGCCCUAGCAUGUUGCCAAUUUGACGAACGCCCUCGCGCAACAGACCACCUUGGUGAACCAACGCUUUGAGUGUAUCGAGAAGCCGCGCACCCCAGAUGAGGUGUCCUGAAGCAGGAUAAGGACGGAAGAACGUGACUCAUUCUAGCAACGUCCAGGCAACGAACCGUGCGUUCGAGUAGUGUGCACUCUCGUUUGGGCCUAUGAGGAAACGUAUUCUCCUACCUAAAUGCACAGGGAAACAUUCAUUCCUGACUCGGCUCACAAGUCAGUGUGCAUUCAAGGUUGGGUCCAUACUUCAACGAGCACCCAGGACAUUUUAGGUGAAAUGUCCACAUGAGGCUAGGCCUACAAGGAGAUCCUCCUAUGAGGCAACGGAGUAGGCAGCCGCAUGUUGACCAGAGAAGAGCACGUGAAUAGUCCAAUUCAAGUUCCACUGGUAGCCCUUGCCAAAAGCGAUGAUGAGCAACACAACAUGAACUACGUGUACAGCAACUGUGACACAAAUGAGCAAGACGAGCGGAAAGAGCAACAUGGAUCGGCAGGUCAACACCGGGAACAGUUGAAGGCUCCAAUGCCGUACCAUGCACAAAUCCAGGAUGAAGUACAAAGGCUCGUAGCAGAGCAACUGCGCGGAUUCCUGCGUAUUGACACUACUGACGAUGCCCUCCGUAGAGACGUGGCCAACCUGAGCAAGUCACCAUUUACAGACAAGAUCGAUAAGACGGAGCCACCGCGGAAGUUCAACCCGCCACAUUUCACCUUAUUUAGGGAAGAUGAAGAUCCGGACAUGCACUUGAUGCACUACCGAAAUGCCAUGACCCUUUACGCCAACAAUGAUGCUCUCAUGUGCACAAUCUUUGCCACGAUGCUCCAAGGAAUAUUCGUCCUACCGCUUGAUCAAAAAGAAGUUUGACCACCUUUUCAACAUGAAGAAUGACCUGAAUGAGUCACUCCGCACUUAGGUCAAGAGAUUCAAGGCGGAAAAGGGCAAAUAUCUGGUAGUUCCAGUCAGGAAACUUAGUCCUCAGAAAAGCCUUCAUCACCGCCUGACAGGAAGGCUCCAAAAAGAUGGCUCCCAUCUGGGAAGGUUUAUACAAAAUCAGCCAGGUAGGCGGAAUAGGCAGCUACACCCUCACCACUAUGAGCGACAAAGAAGUCGACAAGCUGUGGAAUGCCUACAACCUGAGAAAGUACUACGUGUGACCUCCCACCAUUCCAAAAGUACUACAUGUGAUCUCCCACCAUUCCUUGGACCCUGUUCAAGAUGACAAAGUUUGAAGACUCAAGCAGCUCGACAAAUUAGACCUCGCAUGCUGAGGAUUAUCAGUUGUUAUGCCAUUAUUGCCUAUGAGCAAAGUUAAUAAAAGCCUCUAUCUUCAACAAAGAUUGAAGGAUUUAUUGACAAGCCUGGGUCAAAUGCAUAAACAAGCUGACCAACAUUGUGACAAAGCAGAAGACUUCUGCUGCCCCGCAGACAUAGUGUAAGCUCUCCAGCGCGAGAGGGUAAAUUAAUUCCUAUACACCCAUCAUGGUAAGCUAUCCCGCGUGAUAGGGUAAACUAAUUCCCCGACACCUAUCAGGGUAAACUUUCCAGCGUGAGAGGGUAAAUUAAUUCCCCGACACCCUUCAGGGUAAGCUAUCUACUGUGAAAGGGUAAGCCACUCCGGAAUAUCUAGACGUGGAUGGGUUGUACGACUACUCAGGUCCCCUUGAAUGCAGCGACUACCUGCACUGGACGACUCCCAGAAUUGGCCACGAUAGUUUUUCCCUUGGAAUAAACUUAGCCAACUGAAAGAUUCAAUUCCGCGGGAUCCCGAGUCUUUGAUCGGAAGAGACGCUAAGUGCAGGACCUCUGCCCAUGAAAGAAUUCACGUGACAAUAUGGUUCAUCUUCGAUGUGCAAAUCUUCAUGAGUGGCUUGAUUUCAAAGUGUUGCAAUACUAGUUAAGCAACUUGCGAGAUCAAAGCUGCGACUCGGAAGGAUAUGGUCUUUAAUGAGCGACUUCGGCUACACCUUACGCCAAAAAACGUCUCCAAGAGCCAUGGAUGACGCCAGAAGUGGUCACGCGGGUUGUCUGCUUCUGUAAGUAAAAUGCCCAACUGACAGCCCCAUGGCUACAAGCCCAAGGUAGCCUGUAAGCCGAGACUUACACCUACUAUGACUACACAGACUUGCAUGCUUACCUACAAGUAGCACUUUCGGUUGACGAUCUAUGGUUUAAGUUUUGCUGGGACAAAGUCGAGUGUCACGAUUAUAGCAGCUACGCGGAUCUCUUUUGCUUCCUAUGAGAGGCACGAGUCUGGUCGACAGCUCUAUAAGUAAAAAAUCUCGCAACGCACCCUGGAAGGGCCAAAGCUCAAGAAGCCACAAAGUCGAGUGUCACAACUAUAACAGCUACGCGGACCUCCUCUGCUUCCUACGAGAGGCACGAGUCUUGCCGACGGCUCUAUAAGUCAAAAGUCUCUCAAUGCGCCCCGGAAGGGCCAAAGCUUGAGAAGCCACAAAGUUGAGUGUCACGAUUAUAGCAGCUACACGAAGCUCCUCUGCUUCUUACGAGAAGCACGAGUUAGGCCGACGACUUUAUAAGUAAAAAAUCUUGCAGUACGUCAUGGGAGGGCUAAAGCUCAUGAAGCUACCCAAAGCCAAAAUUGAAGCCUAAAGUGACCAAUUAAGUCAACUGCUCAAUCGGAGUAGCCCACUCAACUGCCCGUCAUACGGCAAAGUUUUGCAAAACGCCUCAAGCAGGCAAAGCUCUAGAAGCCCCAAAGCCAAAACUGAAGCCUAAAGUGACUACAUGAGUCAACUGCUCAACCGAAGUAGCCAACUCAACUGCCCGUCCUACGGAGAAAAGCUUCGCAAAUAACAUGGCAAAAAAGAAGGAUGAAGCAAAAGACAAUGAGAGCUGUUUAUUAAAUUUCUAGCAAAUUGAUAAACCAGCACGAACGCCAACAAAGUUUAAGCAAAGCAGAACAAAGAGGAAAAGAAGAAAAAACUCCUAAGUCUAAGCAAAAAGACUACUCUUUAGUAACUUGCGCAACCACUGGUUGCUUAACUGCCACGCUUUCAGUAGCCAUGCCAUUCCCAAUUGCUAAAGUUUCCAUUAGCUCAUCCUCAACCGUCCCCGCCUGGACUGCUAGAUCCUCAGCUGCUCCACCAAUGGCAGCCUCAAACGAGAAAUCAAGCAAAUCAACUGAAGAAAUGGAAAAAGUCUCGAAGUCCUUCUCGAAAAACUCAUAAUCUGAUGGCCUACCCUGAAGAUGGUUUACAUAGCCAAGCUUGUAGAAAUCGGCCUGACAAGAAGCAAGCACCACUUCAUGACCAACUUUCACAUUCUUCAGCUGCGCAUUCUCCUCAACAAGCCUAAUGUGAGCACCUUGCAGCUCAUCCAGUUCCUUUUUCAAGUUCUUGCUAGCAGACAGCGCACCUUGCAGAUCCAUUUUCUUGUACUCAAGUUUACUAGCAAUCUCCUUAAGAUGAGACACUUCAACAUGCAUAAAGAUAAACUCCUCGUUCUUGGCAAAGCAAGCAGAUCGUAGCUCUGAAUUGACACACUCAAGGUCCUUGACCAUCGGAGAAACACGACUAACUUCAUUCUCUAUAGCUUCCAACAUUGCAUGAGUCACACCAAGCCUAGCAUUCAAAUGGGUGACCUCCUGAUGAGCGAUCUCCAGUUGCAAAGAAGUGGGGGCAGAGACAUCAGACCCUUUCAAAAAGGCACUUCGGCCUCUUUAGCACACUUGACAGCAUCCUGAUCAACGCGCAUAAACUCAGCUGCUAGGAUUAAAGUUUUAUGCAUUGUAGCAAUCAGGGAGGAUCUCCUCGAGUAGGUAGGAUGCUUCGCAAAUGAGUCUGAGCGGACGACAACUUUCCCAACACUAUCAACAAACUUAGUGCAUGCAUCGACGUCCUCAAGCAGGUUAGCCUUCAGCAGUGUACAAACCUCGGGAAACUCUCCAGCCUCAAACUCGAUGGAUCUCUCACAAUUGCCCGUGUGAGCAGAUUUCCCCUUCUUAGCAGACGAGUCAAUCACGGCAGAAGGAGGAACAAGCUCUGACGCCAAUUUAGCAGUGAAAUCCACUUUUUUGCUCUUCAUAACGAUGAUCCUCUCAGAAGUAGAGCCAGAUUUAGCUCCUGACGGAUGAUUCGAUACAAACCCAAACACCGGAGGCACCACCAAACUCUUUCGCUAGGCAAGUCUCUCAGCAAUGGAUGCGGUUACCUUUGGAGCAGCAGGUUUCACAGGCUUAGGCUCAACGGUCAUCUUCGCCCUCUUGGGGGAAGUUAGAUUAAUGAUAAGCUUCUCGGCAGCAGACGAGCUCCUACAAGCAACUGAAGAAGUCCUUGGUUUCUUCUCAACCGAAGGUUCACAAGCAGGUGAAGAAGACUUCUUCUUUCCACCACCAUUGGCAGCAGGCUUUACAGCAGUUAUCGGGCGAGCCAACGCCUCGUCCUUAAUCCGCUUUAUCUCUUCCCUCGAGGGCAGGCCAUCAUUUUCCCAACGAAGAGGGUUGAGCAGCCAGCGCCACUUAUGGUACUUAGCAGGAAUACCCAAGUCACCGUGUACUUUCUUCAUAUCUGCUGAAGUCUUUGGAGUUGAAUCAAAUUUUGAAUCUACGCAAAGUAAGUAGGGAUGGCAACGGUUCGGUUUGGGGACGGAAAUACUAUAUCUAUCCCCAUAACCACGAAAAUUAACGAUAUCUAUAACCGCAAAUUAACCAUCAGGUAUUAUCCAUAAUCAUACCCACCGAAUAACGGAUUCCCCAUCGGUUAACAGUUAUAUCCAUCUUUGACAAUACAAAAAAUAUAUUUGUUCAAUUAAUGCAUGAUAAUUUAGUAAAUAUUAAUUUCCUCAUUAAAUAUUUGAUGUAUAAAAUGAUUUGAUGAAUGGAUCUUGUGAAGCAUAAAAAUUAAAGUUAAACGUUGAUGAUGUUGGCUGAUCUUUGAUAUCUCCCAUAAGUACCAUUGAAUUCUCAUAGAUUUUUAUUCAUAUCAAGACUUAUGAACUUUCCCACAAAAGGCAACUCACAUAAUGCAAUUUUUGUAUUUACACUCAAACUAAGGGAUUUGGCGAAUAAUAAAUAUACAUAUGUGUGUGUGUGUGUGUGUAUUUUAAUACUUUAAUAUUAUAUAUUAUUUGGUUCGAAUUCGGGGACAGAUAUAAAUUGAGGACCCCUAUAACCAUAUACAAAACCAUAACAAAAUAAUAUUCACGGUUUUUCCCCAUACCCAAAAUAUACCCGAAUUUUCAUAUCCAAAUCCAAUCCAUUCGGCCGAUUAUCCACGAUUAUCGGGUUUAACGGUAAGAAUUGUCAUCCCUAGUAAAGGGCCACUUGUAGGGAUGACAACGGUUUGGUUUGGGUACGGAAAUGAUAUAUGCAUUCCCAUAACCACAAAAAUUAACCAUAUCCAUAACCGCAAAUUAACCAUCGGGUAUUAUCCAUAACCCUCCCUAUUAGGUAACGGAUUUCCCAUUGGUUAACGGGUAUAUCCAUCUUCAUCAAUACAAAAAAUAUAUUCGUUCAGUUGAGACAUUAUAAGUUAGUAGAUAUUAAUUUCGUCAUUAAACAUUUUAUGUAUAAAAUGAUCCAAUGAAUGAAUCUUGUUGAGUAUUAAAAUAAAAACACUGAUGAUGUUGGCUUGUCUUUGAUAUCUCCCACAAGCACCAUUGAGUUCGCAUUGAUUUUGAUUCAAAACUUUACUUUCCUACAAAAUGCAACUUUUGUAUCCUCAAGGUAAUGGUUCGGUGAAUAAUGGAUAUACAAAUACAUAUGUACAUAUAUAUACAUAAAUAUACAUAUGUACAUAUAUAUACAUAAAUAUACAAUAUAUAUAUAUAUAACAUAAAUACAUAAUACAUAUGUAUAUAUACAUAUGUACAUAUAUAUACAUAAAUAUACAUAUGUACAUAUAUAUACAUAAAUAUACAUAUGUACAUAUAUAUACAUAAAUAUACAUAUAUACAUAUAUAUACAAUAUACAUAUAUACAUAUAUAUAUAUACAUAUAUAUAUAUACUAUUAUACUAUUAUACUAUAUAUAAAUUAUAUUAUUUACUAAUCGGGUCGAAUUCGGUUAUGGAUACGGUUUGGGGACCUCUAUAACCAUAUCCAAAACCAUAACUAAAUAAUAUAAACGGUGUUUCCCCAUAUCCAUAAUAUACCCAAAUCCGUUCCAUUUGGACGAUUAUCCACGAUUAUCGGGUUUAACGAUUAAAAUUGCCAUCCCUAAAAGUAAGAAGGACAAAUUGAAGUCACGGAGCAGCUCAACAAAAAAUUCAAGCAGGACAAGAAUGAGGCAGUUCACUUACCACUGAUAAAGGUAGUCGGGACACGCAUCUUAGGAGAAGAGUCAGACUCCCACUCCCCACUCACCUCCAAUGUGUCUCUCGCCCACUCAUGAUUGCCUUUGCUAGAAGCAUCAAGCAGCUUAUGGCAAGACCGCAGUUGCCCUACACCUUCCUUGUUGCCAAUCUUAAAGAAGUACCAUAACUCAUUUAUGGUCAAGCCAAGAUCAAAGAACCUGCUCAAGUUCGAGAACCCCACCAUUGCACGAAUUGCAUUUGGAGAACACUGAGCAGGCAUGCAUUUCAUGGAGCAUAUCACCUCCUGGAAAAGAUACGGCAUGGGGGGAGGCCCACGCCCCUUUCCCCUCUUUCUUUCACGCCCAGUGCACCCCAAGGCAGGCCCAGGCUUCUUGGCCUAGGUCGCGCACGCAAGAUAGCGGACCCACUUCGGUCUUUCUCCCUCUCUUCUCGCCUGCAUGGGCUCGUGUCCAACAACCUUGAAGACCCGACCCAAGCCGAUUUCCCAGCACCCCAGCGCGCCAAUCCUCUUGGCUCGAGCUGAGCCGUCCACCUGGCCUAGGCUAGUCGACCCGUGCCACGCCACCAAGCAGCCCCGAGGCUCCCAUGCCAUGUGUUACCCACACCCACGGCCCUCGCAAUGCCAAUUUUUGAAGUCCCAAGACUCCCAAAAAAUUCAAGAAGAAGAAAAUUCAAAAUUUUCUUACCUUGGUGUGGCACGGAGAAGAAGAACAACGAGAAAUGACUCUUUGCAAGGCCCUAGCCCUAUAAAUACCUCAUAUUCUACCACAUUUUGUGAGCUUUUGCAACACUAAAAAAGCCCUAAACACUUUACUCUCUCAGAGAAACUAACUUAGACAUCGGAGAUCCGUUGAUCUAACCCCCCCACUUUAUGGGCGAGUGAGGCUUAGGUCUUUGAUCAAAUGUGUUGAUUGUUUUGCAGAUACAUUUUCGUUAAGACUAAAGACAGGGGAAAUUUGCAUCGACAUCGAGCAUGGCUAAAACGCCAAGGGCUAGGAAAACUAAUGGAAUUGCGCCGAUGCCGAGCAUGAUCCUCCAGUUCAAGUGGAUUAGGAGCUUGGCUAAGGCAAAAUUGGAUACGUACCCAGUUAUAUACCAACGUUAACAAACACCUACACAUUUUUCAAAAUGAUCAAUUCUAUUAAUAUAAACUCCACAUGCAUGCACGUGAGAGGUUUACGAAACAAUAAAUAUUUUAGGAAAAUCUAGGGAGAAUAUUUUUAUAUCACAUUUGUGUACUAUAUGAAUUGACAAGUGAUGUAUACAUGUCACGUCAAUAAAUAAAUUUAUCACAUUCGAUAUUAGUUGCAUACAUUACUUGCCACAUAAGAUGAUACAUAAAUGUGAUAUAAAUAUGUAGUUGGCCUAUCAUUACUCAAUCUUUUAUUGAGCAUUAUUCUUUACAAAGAAAAAUGUUAGGGAUACCACAUUUUGGUACUAUAUUUGUGUAUCAUCUGAUGUGGCAAAUGAUGUAUAAAUGCCACAUCAAUUAAUACAUUUAUCUUAUUGAAUCUUGAUUAUAUACAUAAAUUGUCACAUUAAAUGUUACAAUAAUGUGAUAUAAAUGUAGUUUCCUUAGCAUUAGUUUUACAGAUACUUAGAUACCUAUAUUUAUGUGAACAUAUUACCUUGGCUAAUAACAAAAAAAGUUUACUAUAUUAUAUGAUAAUAUAACGUGGUAACGAAACAAACCUCAGGGAAAGAUGUGAGGAAGCUACAAAACGAGGCUGGAGAAAUCUCGGCGGUGUAGAUAUGAGCUAUCAUAAGAGCGUAACCAACUCCAAUUCCGGCAAUGAAUCUCCCGAACAUGAGGAAGGCAUAGUUGGGGGCAAAGCCCAUGAGGAAAGCUCCAACAAAGAAGAUUGUUUGAUAGGGAUUUUACCACCUGCAAAAGUAGGGAUAAAAACACUUUAAAAUACUUGCAAGAGUACAAGGUUAUCGUAGUAUAGCAGCUCAAGCAAGGUCGAUCUCCACAGGGAUUGAAUGAAUAAUUUAUGUUAAAACCAAAUCUUAAUUAAUUAUUUGAAAACAAAGUUUAGAAAAAGAUGAAUUUAUGAUCUAAAAUAUUAAAAAUGAAUUUAAUUAAAAACAAUUAAAUAAAUUGGGAAAAUAAAUAAAACAAAAGAAAAUAGUUUUGAAAAUAAAAUUUGAGCACUAGGGUUCCGCCGUUACCUUAACAAUCCUACGUAGUUCUUUCAAUUACUUAUGAAUUACACAUGCAUAUUUUGAAGGUUAGGUUUUCCUAAAGUAUGCCCUACUUGGAACCUCCAACAUAGAAUGUAUAUCUAACAUGCAACCCGUCCGUGGCGUCCAGAGCGAAUGUGAACAUGCAAGACUCAUGAAGUUUUGUGAAAACCUUUUGAAAAACCAUAUAACUCUUAAAACGUGUCAUCCAUUCUAAGAAGUUACACAUAUUAAUCACAAGAAGCCAGAGCCAAUUUCAGGGACAGCCCUCAGCCAAAAUUGCAUCAAAUUACUUUUCUAAAUAUCCUAAUGGUGGCCAAUCAUCAAGACAAUUAGAUAGUUUAAAGAACAGUGAUUAAUAAUUCAAAACUUGCAUGCAUAAUAUCAUAAGUAAAUUAAAAAGAAACUACAUAUUCUUGCUAAAGCUCAUGGCCUCGCCUUAGCAAACAAAACUAGUUACGAACAAUCAUAAAACAAAAUAUUAUUAAUAACAUGGAUAAAAAAACACCUUGAAAGUAAACUUGAAUCCAAAAGCUCUCUAAAGCCAAAAUAUUGCGUUCUCUCCCCUCUCCAAUGUUGCGUCCGUUCUCACCUUUUAACGUAAUGGCUAAAUAUCUUAUUUAUACUAAUACAAAAUAAAACCCUAAAAGGUCUUAGAAUAAAACUAGGAAACAUAAUCCUAAAUUAACUUGGUAAAUUCGCCCAAAAAUCUGCACAGCCACGUUUUGGACCCAAAUGAGCUCCAAAACUGGCCCAAAAUAGCUGGAUCUAAAGCUUGGACUAUUCUGAACACUUCUCCAAAAGGCCACGAACCCAUCUAAGGUCAUAUUGGGCUCCAAAAAUGCAAUUUAAGCCCAUAAAUGUCACUUUCUAGCAACGCGUACUGCUCAUUCAUUUAAAUCACUCUAAAAUUCGUUCCAAAAAAUAACCGUUUGGUAGAAAUUUCUGAGAUUUUGACAUGAACAAGCUAAGGAACACAUGAACGUCCUCCAAUUUGAAUCACUCUAAAAUUCGUCCGUUUGGUCACGUUUUGCUCCAGAUGAAGUCGAACCUAUGUUGAAAAUAUAAAGCAAAGUAUCAAAAUUCUACCAAAAUAAUCAAUAAAUUAAUACGAAGAAUAGGGUAAAAUAUAUAAUAAAAUAUUGACUCAUCAUUGUUCCCGCUAGUACUAUGGUGUACCGCCGUCCAAUCCAGUCAGAGGUUUUACCAGCUAGGGCGGAGCUAAUGAGAGAGUAUAUAUUCAAAGUACCGUUAAGAACUUCGACUUGAACGUCGCUGAUCUUGAGGUUUUCUUUGAUGAAUAGAGACGCUCCACUCAUUACACCAAUAUCUGUAAAUAAAAUUGAAAUUAACAUGCAUCGCAAGUGGAGAAGUUUCUUCCAAACAAAAAGAGUAGGAAUUGAGAAUGGUGGAUUGCAAUAGUAAGAUAAUAUUAAAAAUCAAAUAAGAACUGGAGUGGAGAAUGAGUUUAUCAUUAGAGAACCACAACCACUAACGAUAUACAUGAGUUUUAAGGAACAAUUAACAUAACCUAGUAAGAUACAUGUCAUUGAAGCCAAAACGGCACAGGCAACAGCAAACUUUUUUUGUCUUGGGUUUCUUUGGGGGAUCGAAGUCUGCAAUACUAUAUUCUGCGGUUGGCCGGAGACGACGUUAUUUUCUGCUCUCUGGUCAGCCAUCUCCAUCUCUAUAGAGCUAGAUAAAUGGAUGGAUGGAUAGAUAGAGAGACAAAAAAUAACUUAUCAGAGAGAAAUGAAGAGAUCACUUAACAGACAGAGACAGAGAGAGAGAGAGAGAGAGAAAGAGAGAGAGAGAGAGAGAGAAUUAUAUAUGAAAAAUGAGCUAUUAAUCAAGUACUAUUUAUACAUAUUAUAUCCAUUUGUCCGAAAUAUUGCUGUUCAUGGAAACAAACACCGUUAUCCACUAUUGUCAUCAAUCAAUGAAUAGAUUCGAAUUUAUCUUAAUUCUAGAACACAAUUUAGUUAAUUAGUUCUUAUCUACCAAAGCAGCAAAUUAAAAAACUGUGAAAUAUGGUUCCAUAUAUAAUGCCAUUUCAGGCACGCAACUAUACAUGCGCAAAAACUAUGAGAUAUUGUUCCAUAUAUAAGAAAAGUGCUCGAUGAUCUGAGCGUAUUCCAUUUGAUGGUUUCACUAGUAGAAAAAACACUUUGCACGACGAAAACUUGCGUGAUGCAGCCAAAUUCGUCGCGCAAAGUAUGUUUGCGCGACGUUAAACACAAAAUGUCAUGCAAACGACCUUUGCGCGACGGAGACCGACGUCAUGCAAAAGUGUUUUGUGCGACAUAAGUUCACUUACGUCACGCAAAAUUGUUUUGUGUGACGGAGACCGACGUCGCGCAACUUGCCGUCGCACAAAGGCCGUUUGCGCGACGUUUUGUGCAUCCCGCAAGAUUUUGGCGCCAAAUAUAGAUAGCUUUACCGCUUUUUUUAUUGACUUUGCGCGACGCAAGGCCACCUACGUCACGCAAAACAGCUUUGCGUGACGCAUGUUCACCUACGUGACGCAAAACAAUUUUGCGACACGCAACCUACGUCACGCAAAACAGCUUUGCGUGACGUAGGUGAACAUGCGUCACGCAAAGUUGUUUUGUGUGACGUAGGUGGCGUCGCGCAAAGUCAACGACCUUUUCUUACUUCACUUAAUCAGUUUGGGAGGUAGAAACUGAAAACUAGUUGCAGCAGCUACCGCCCUCCCCCAUCUCUCUUUAAAACCUUCUCCAAUUCUCUCCCUUCCUCAAUCUUUUUCUAUCCGGUAAGCGAUUUGAUUUUGUAUAUGUAACUUUGAAUUGAGAAUUCAAACUAAAACUACUAAAUUUGUUUUGUACAGGAUUUUUGUAUACGAUUAUCAUUGAAGAACGAAUUUGAAGGUAUUUUCUUCAUGUUGCAUAUGGGAUUUUUGUAUAUGUACCUUUGCCUACUUGCUAUGCCCUUUUUUGGUAAUGGUUUGAGUUUUGUGAGAUUGAAUUUUAAAGUAAUCUUUAUUAAUUUUACCUAUUAGGUACCUUUGCCUACUUGCUAUGCCCUUUAGUAAUCUUUAUUAAUUUUGCAUAUGGGUUAACUUAUAUUUUUACAUAGAAGAAAUUGUAAGAAAUGUUGGUUUCCCCUUAAAAUUUCCUUAAUUUGUGCUAUACGGUUGAAUUGAGGGUAAAUCCAAUGCACCGCAGGUAAUUAAGAAUUAUAUAGAAAACCUACAAAAGCCAUGAACUUCAAAGCUAAUCUCAUCAUCACUAUUAAAUUCUCAAUGCUAAGACAACAUGUUUUAGUUCAAUAAUGAGGGGGUUGAUUUUUGUGAGCAUAUGCCAUACUUAUGUAGAUAAACAAUGGCUAUGAUUCUCCUAUUAAAUCCUUGUAGAAAAUUAAUAUCGUCUUCCAAUUUUAAUACAAGUAAGUAAUUCAGGAUUCAUUUUCAGUCUCAAUCCUUUGUAAACUUGAAGGCAACCAAAACAUCUUUCAAUAAGAUUUUUUAAAACCAAUAUCUAGCCAAAAAACACGUACACUUGUGUUCAUAUUCUAACAAUACAUUUAUCUCACCACCAAAAUUACUCGAGUGCAACUAACUAGAAUAUGUAUAUUCUUUGAUAUAAUUAGUAUAAACAAAUAAAAACUAAGGCCAUCAACAUUAUAGUUUAGAAGUAUUAAUAUUUUGUAUCUAUUUUAUUUAGUUUCACUAGUUAUUGUGAUUUAAUUUAUUUGUAUGCACAUAUUUUUGUACAUCACGUACAAAAUUGUUUUGUGUUGUACGAAGUUAAUACUACUUAACUUUGUACACUUUUUUCAAGAAAAACUUAGUUUCCCGUUUGAGAAUUACUUGGAUUUCGUGCAUGGAUGCAAAAGCAUGACUGCGGUCCAAUUAAUUCUUGAAUUGUCCCAUUUUUUGGACAGUUUGGGAAUGCAUAGUUAUGUGUUGUAGUUUGCGGUUCAUGGAUUAGGUUUCGAAAGUGGAAAUUUGGUAACAUUUCCUGAUGUUCUUCUAGUACACGGUGGAUAUUAUGUAUUUACGGCGUGCACUUGAAGAACUGUAAGGAGAUGCUGUCGAAAUUUGCCCGAGUCGAAAUUUCAUCCAUUGGAAUUGUAGAUUACAGCACAUAACUUUGCAUUCCUGAAUGGGAUAAGGCCCUUACCGGAGGAAUAAGGUGACAAGACAAUAGUUGAAGUUGUUGUAAUUCUUGUUCUUUUAUUAGGAUUGCAGACAAAAUGGACAGACAGUGGAUACAGAAUCAUAAUAGAUGUGUUGUUGAGUACUUGGAUGGAAUAGAUGAGUUCAUUAAAUUCGCAACUAGACACAACCUAGGUUCAACUCAUAUCCGAUGUCCGUGUAGGAGGUGUAACAACUCAAUGAGGGAGACAUUCGAAAAUGUUCGAUUUCAUUUAGUAAGAAAUGGGAUGAUGGAGACCUAUACUACUUGGUAUCAUCAUGGAGAACGAUUAGACCAACCUUCGUCUUCAUAUAUGACACGAGUGGAGACUGUUGAAUCUAAUGUGGAUCCUAAUGAACAAGUUAUGGAUAUUCUAAAUGACGUUUAUCCAUACGCCUCGACCAACACCAAUGAGGAAGGGGGAGAUGACAGUCGUCCAACCAUGGACAGUGAGGCAUUCAAAAAAUAUGAAAAACUAUUGAAAAAUGCCAAGCAAGAAUUAUAUUCGGGUUGCGAGAACUUUUCGGUGCUUAUGGCAAUUGUGGAGUUGAUGCAUGGCAAGAUCAAGUUUCAUUUGUCAAACAAGUGUUUUGAUUACUUUUUGGGAGUUAUCAAGAGGAUGCUUCCAAAGGACAAUUGUUUACCUGAAGAUCAUAAAAGUGCCCAAAAAGUGUUGAAGGGUCUCAGAUUGGGGUAUGAAAAAAUUCACGCAUGUGUAAAUAAUUGUAUAUUGUUCUAUAAGGAGAACAUACAGUUGGAUAAAUGCCCUGUAUGCAAUGAGCCGAGGUUUAAAAUGACAUCGCAGAAUAGAAAGACCAAGAUUCCACAAAAAGUAAUGCGUUAUCUUCCAUUAAAGCCUAGGUUGCAGCGAUUGUACAUGUCGAUGCAUACGGCAAUCGAUAUGAGAUGGCAUAAAGAAAGACGAGUAAAUGACGAUGUGAUGAGGUAUCCUGCAGACGGAGAGGCAUGGAAAGAAUUUGAUCGGAUGUACCCUGAUUUUGCAGCUGACCCGCGAAACAUAGAUUGGGACUUGCCACCAAUUGAUUUAAUCCGUUCGGGGUUCUAAACCAAACCCACAGCACUUGGCCGGUCGUCGUGUUUCCUUAUAAUCUGCCACCUUGGAAGUGCAUGAAAAAAGAAUACAUGAUGUUGACUCUAUUAAUUACCGAAGAUCCAAGAAAAUCCAUUGAUGUUUAUUUGCGACCAUUGGUUGAUGAGGUAAAAGAUUUAUGGUAAAACAGUGUUCGUACAUACGAUAAGUCUACUGGGCAUAUGUUCACCAUGCGAGCAGCAGUGAUGUGGACAGUAAACGAUUUUCCCUCGUAUGCCAUGGUUUCUGGGUGGAUGACUAAAUGUUAUUUGGCAUGUCCAAUAUGCAAGGAGAACGUGAUAGGAGCAUAUUUAUGUGACUUAGUUAGCUUGUUUCUUGGCAUUUAUGUUGUUUUCCUUAGUUAUUUUAGUGUUUAAAGUCAUUUUCGUGCAAUUUUAGGUUCUAAGGACAAAGUAUGCAAAAAGAUGCAUUUUGGAGCCUUUUGGAGCAGUUUUGGACAUCAAAUGGAUUGCACAUGCUUGGAGCUAAGAAGAUGGACGAAAUUGAAGAUCAAAUGAGCGUAGGAUUGAAUGAAGAUGUGAAGAAUUGGAUUCAAGACAAAUAAAGAAUGAAGAGUUCAAAAUUGGAAGCCAAAGUUUCUAAAGUUGGAAGUUUCUAUUCUUGGAGGUUUCCAUUCUUGAUGGUUUCCAUCUUUGGCUCUAAACUUUCCUAAUCCUAACUCACCUAUGUUCCAGCCACAAAAGGGUUUCAAAACAUGUUAGGUUGCCUAAUUACAUGUUUCUAGAAGUCCUAGAACUUACCCUAGAUAUUGCCGCACCAUCCCUUUAAUUUCUAGUUCUUUGUUGCACAAGACACAACCUUUCUUUUCUAUUUUCUACACCUAAACCACAUUCCUGUUUUGUUCCAUCCCUUGUUGCACAAGGGAGAGAUCCUCCUUCCUAUUUUAUGUCCUAAAACGUAUUUCCUUUUCCCUGAAACCCUAUGCCGCACCCUACAUCUAUUCUUACCUAUUUUGUGCCUCAAAACACAUUCCUAAAUAUGUCCUACAAAUUCUGCCGAAUUUCCCUUUCCUUUUCUCUUUAAUUCCUGCACCUUUCUUGCCUAUUUUCUGACCUAAAAUCACAUUCCUUUUCCUACAUAAAUCCUUCCCUAAAACCACUUCAAAUUCGUAGCCCUUCUUUCCCCUAUAAAUAAAGGCCCUUGCUGACCAUUCUAACCACUCCACCCUUCACCACAACCUACCUACAUCCAUCCACCACCAUAAUUCACCACAAAUCAUCACCAAACACCCUUGUGUCGCAGCAAAGAAGAAAGAAGGAGACCCUUGGACGUGCUUGCCAUUCAAGACGUUGGAUUGUUGGAGCGUUUCUAGGUGUUUUCAUUCUUUGUUUUCAAUGUCUAAAUUUAUGUAUCUUUGUUUUGCGUUUAUGAGGAACUAAGCCCUUCUUGGCUAGGGGGCUAUUCAAAACCAUGAUUAUAUUUGCAUUAUGAAUUGAUUACCUUCAGUUGUUAUUUCAUAAGUUGUGAAUUCAAUUUGCUUAACCGUUUGAUUGAUAACUUAUUCUUGUAUGUUUAUUAAGAGUGCACACUUAGUUUUCAUGCAAGGAUUUGAAGCUAAAAUAUAAGGGAGUUUCACCUAAUAGUUACAAACUUAUAUUUGCAAGUAGUGGAGGUCGCUUAUAAACGAUCGUGUUAAGUGAAUUCUUGGCAAAAGUUUCAUGCUUUUCAUAGUAACAAUUGCCUCAUCAAUGCUUAUAGUUUUCAUGAAACUUAAUGAUCUUUGAUUGUACCUUUAUUGUGCUUUUCACGUAGGGGACUUUUAGAGAAUGCUUUGAAUUGUUGUAUGCGCUUUCCCAUCCAAUUCAAUAACUUAAGGAGAACUUGAAGGUUAAUUUAAGCGGACCUAAUUAACCUGGGGUGCUGAGUUUCAUGAUUUAUUGAACGAACAACUGAAAAUUGGUUUGUAUGCAAGUGUGUCAUGUGUGGAGAAGAACCCUCUAGUUGAUCUAUCACCCAUCAAUUUACUUAACUUUGUCUAAAAAUCUGUUUACUUUGUUCUUGUUUUGUUUUAUUUAUUUUCGUCCAAAAUCAACACCAUCUUAUUUCUUUGAGUCAUAUUAACUAGAACUUGUCUUAGAAUAUGUUUUUAGGUGUUUUAGGUCAUUAGAAAACCAAAAUUCGUCCAAGUUGUGUUAGAGUCCCAAAACUGCCCAGAAAGUGGUUUUUAGGCAGUUUUGAGUGUUUGUUUGCUAUUUUGAGUCUUUUGGUUUGUUUUAAUGUUUUAGAGUUUAGUUUUGCAUUCUUUGAGUCUAGCUUAGUAUUUUAAACUUUGUUUUACAGAUUUAAGUCAGUUUAGAGUAGAUUAGCAAUCCCUCAUAAUCCCCGGUCCAGAACGAUCCCUACUUAUCCAUACUACAAUUGUCAACAAGAGGGUUUAAUUUGUGUGUUAAGUUAAUUUACGCAUCAGAACGUAACAUCAUCUUGGCAUGUGAGAAAAGUUUGUUAUCUUGGUCAUCAUAGAUGGCUCCCUUGGGACAACGAGUGGCGUCACAACGAUAAAGUUUUCCACGGCACAAAAGAGACUCAACCAAGACCAAGAGAAUGGUCCGGAGAUGAGAUUUUGGAUCAGUUAAACCAUUUAGAAUUUGGUCAUUUUGGCAAAGGGGUCAGUAAGCCUAGACCAACUACACAUCUGAAUUGGACGCACAAGAGUAUGUUAUUUGAGCUCCCAUACUGGUCAAAGUUAAAAUUGAGACACAAUCUUGAUGUUAUGCAUAUUGAGAAAAAUGUGUUUGAUACUUUGGUCGGGACAAUUCUAGACAUUGAAGGAAAAACGAAGGGCACAAUCGAAGCUCGCCUCGAUUUGGAACGAAUGGGCAUUAGAUCAUCCUUGUGGAUGAAAAAAGUUGGUGGUACAUUGAAGAAAGGCUAUCCUUUUUUUACAGUUAAGCCGAAUGGGAAGAAAGAGUUUUUCAACUUUAUUUCUUCUGUAAAGUUUCGAGAUGGGUAUGCUUCCAAUAUCUCGUGUUGUGUGAACGUAAGUGGGUGUAAAUUUUCAAACAUAAAGAGUCAUGACUGUCAUGUGAUACUCCAACGCCUUCUACCGGUUGGUAUUCGACAUUUAUUGCCUAUUGAUGUGGUGAAACCAAUAGUGUUGUUGUCGAGAUUUUUUUCACAGUUAACUGCAAGGUGUUUACGGAAGUCGGAUGUUAAACAAUUGCAGGACGACAUUGUGAACGUCUUAUGUAAGUUCGAACAAAUAUUUCCUCCAGCUUUCUUUACAAGUAUGAUUCACGUGAUGAUUCACUUGCCAAAUGAGGCAUUGCUUGCCGAACCAGUCAAUUGUCGAUGGAUGUAUCCAAUAGAAAGGUACUUAAUUAAGCAUAUAUAUAUAUAUGAAUCUGUUAUAUAUAUAUAUAUAUAUAACAGAUUCAUGAUCAACGAACGCUUUGAAUAAUUUGUAUCAUACCUUUUAUUUGUCCAGAUAUCUUGGUGAGUUGAAAAAGUCCGUCUGAAAUAAGACAAAGGCCGAAGGAUCACUUGUGGAAGCAUGGGUCGCAUAUGAGUCACUUACUUUUUGUGGAAUGUAUCUUCAAGAUGUUGAGAUAGCUUUCAAUCGCCCUCAACGCAAUAAUGAUAGUGGUGUCAGAAAAGAGAAACUGUAUGUUUUUGCCCAAAUUGCAUGACUAUUCGGCGAUCCUGUAAAAGGUGAAUCGUUUACUAAAAAGGACAUGGAGGUAGCGCAUUGGUUCAUACUCAACAAUUGUGACGAGGCUUUGCCAUACCUUGAACAACAUGAACAGUUGAUGAAGCGGGAACAUCCUUCACAUUUAUAUGCCAAGAAGCACCGUGAAUUGUUUCCUUCGUGGUUUCACAAACAUGUAAGUUGUAUGUGUUUUGAAUUGAGCAUUUUUUCCAAAUUGUUCAUGGCCAUCUUUAAAUUUGGUUUCACUAACAUGUUAACUUUUUGUAUAUGUUAUAUUAGAUGAAGGAAUUGAAGGAAUUGAAGGAAUUGAAUUCACCAUCUUACGAUGAAGAAUUAUAUAACUUGGCGAGAGGACCGCUUCACGUUGAAUUGUUCUCAAGUUGUCAUGUCAACGGGAUCAAGUUCUUGGGGGCAACACGUGAUGACAAGUUGUGUACUCAAAAUAGUGGUGUCCACGUCCUGGGUGCUGGCGAUAGUGAAGACAUUGAUUUUUAUGGCAAACUAACUAGUGUAAUACAAUUGCUUUACAAAGACAGAUGUCAAGUGAUACUGUUUAAGUGUUUUUGGUUUGAUACAAACCCACAUAACCGCACGAGUGUUAAGCGAGACCAUGGUUUACUAUCAGUAAACACUACCAAAUGUUGGUACGAUGAAGACCCAUACAUUUUGGCAACUAUGGCGAAACAAAUAUUCUAUCUAGACGACCCUAAAGCCGGCAAUGGUUGGAAAGUUGUUCAGAAGAUUGAUUGAAGAGGGCUAUAUGAUAUUCCGGAACUAGAUCAUGAUGACAACGACAACAAUGUCGCUGACCAACAUUUUUCAUCUUUGAUAGAAAUUGGUGAAGAAACACUACGGGAUACUAAUGUUGUCCCAUAACCAUUUGAAGUAAUUCCGAAAAUGAUAGUAGUGAGGAUAGCGAGAGUUAUUACUGUAGUUCGGAUGAGGAUUAAUAUAAACUUGUAAAGGAAAAAACCAGGGGGCUAAGGAGAGGCAAAGUCAAACUAAAAAAGGCAUGGGAAGAAUCUAAUCGUGAUCGUUUGAAGGUAUUCUCCAUUUUUUACCAAUCUGAACAACGAAGUACAAGUUAUUUAUACUCAUUAUAGGUUAUAUUUAUGCAGAUAUGAUAGUAUUUAUGCGCAUUCGGUUUUGAAGCUGCAUUUUGUUUUAGCAUUUAAUCAUUUGCUUUUAUUAUGAAUUAACCUGUUCAUUUUGGAUUCACUUCAUUUGGAUCAAGUGUAGAGGUCCACAUAGACUAAAUUAUUCAGAGUUCUAUGUAUUUACUUAUGUUUGUUCACUUCAUUUGGAUCAGGUUAUAUUUAUGCAGAUAUGCUAGUAUUUAUGCUCAUUCGGUUUUGAAGCUGCAUUUUGUUUUAGCAUGUAAUCAUUUUCUUUUAUUAUGAAUUGACAUGUUCAUUUUGGAUUCACUUCAUUUGGAUCAGGUCUAGAUGUCCACAUAGACUAAGUUCUGCCGUGAUUGAUGUUGCAUUCUUUGUUGCAAGUCUGUAAACUCGUCAUGUGCAGGUUAUGAUUACAUUCGAUGCGAAACAUUGAUGCAUGAUGGUAGCAUAUGUGGGCAUGCUGCCCACAUUGAUUGUGCCCUGUGAUGUUACAUGGCUGGCACUGUAGGAGGAAGCAUUGGCUUGGAUUCUGAAUACUAUUGUACGCGCUGUGAUGAAAAAACAGAUUUGGUUUCAUAUGUCACAAGGCUUUUACUUGCUUGCGAAUCUCUUGAUUCUCGAGAUGAUGUUGAGAAGAUUUUAAAUUUUGGUAUCUGCAUUUUGCGUGGUUCACAGAAAACCAGUGCAAGGGACCUGCUGAAACGUAUUGAAGUGGCCAUUGAAAAGGUAAAUAUAGUAGCUUCACAGUAUUUAGACUCCCACACUUACACUUCCUAAAAUUCUGGCAAUAUAACAUUUCUAUUUUAAGCAGCUCAAAUGUGGGACUAAUCUUGAAGAUAUUGGCUUGUGGUCGAUUAUGAAGGAUAAUAUUGGCUCCUUCUCACAUAUAACAUUUCUGUUUCUCCAUUAACGCUCUGCUUCCAAAGCUCACAGAGAAAAGAAAACCCACCAAGACCCACCUCUCACAUCUUGUUGGUAUGCACUCAACUUCCCUCUAUCUGUUCCUUGUUUUGUUUGUGGGGUUUCCUUCUUUGAAUGGUUUUUCCUCUUGGGUUGUUGUGUUUUGGGAUUCUCAAGCUGAUUAAUCGUCUAGCAAUUUCAGCUCAAUGAUCAACAGGGAUUAUGGCCUCUUCUUUUUUGCUUUGGGUUUUAGUUGAUUAUAUGUAAAGCUGGAUUCUAGAACUCAAUUAAAUGUACAAGAACAGCAAAAAAGUGACACAACUUGCAUAAAACAUUAGUUACUUUGAUCUAUCGUGUUUUAGGCUGCCUAGUUCACCUGUUUUCUCAAACAAGAUUGUCUCUACUAGUCAACCUUAAGCAUUGAAAACGUAGGUAUUCUUGGCCUUUAUGUUCGUCUUCGAUUACGAUCUGUUUGGUUUAACUUUUCUGCACUAAUUUGAUUAUUUAUAUAUUGGUGGUGUUACUUUUGUUUCAAAUUUUCCCUUUCUUAUUUUUUUUAACUUUUGGUCCAAUGGUUUUUAAUCGUGUAAAUUUUGAUGCUUUCUUGUUGUUGUCUCGUUGCCAUGAUUGAUCCCUUGAAGUCUUGUUGAUUGCAUUUAGGCAUCUUUCUCUAGCCUUUCUCUGGGAGCGAUUCAAAAUAUGUUUAUUAGCACCUCAUCAAUAGUAUAUAUGAAGAAGUUUAGCGAUUCAAAAUCUGGUUUACAGGUUUCUUCAAUUCGUGCCAACAAAUCAGAUGAUAAACGGCUUUCCAUAUUCACAGGAACUAAAACUCUUCACUUGAGAUGUGUGACCAGAGAGGACCGAGCUACAUGGAUUGAGGCACUGCUCGGUGCUAAAGAUCUUUUUCCCUAGAGUGUUUAUGAGCAAUGAUUUGGUACCUUCGGAAGAUAUAGUUGUUUCGACAGAGAAGCUAAGACUAAGAUUAGCACAAGAGGGAAUUGGUGAGCCGGUGAUCAAAGACUGCGAGUCAAUUAUGCUCUUAGAAGUGUUAGAGCUUCAAAAUCAGAUGAAGGGUCUUCAGCGUAAACAUGUGAUGUUGUUGGAGUCAUUGAGGCAAUUAGAGGUAUUUCAAUGCAUUUAAUCACUAAGUUGCUUCUUUACACAUGUGCUGCAAUAAGGGGUGGUGGAAAUCUUGCUAGUCGGAAAGUAAAUCCCUAUCUAAAUUUCCUUUUGCAGACAGAAAAAAUAGAGCUGGAAACUACAGUAAUGGAUGAAACAAAGGAGCGUGAGUCAUACGGACAGGGGAAUGGGAGAUUUAGUGGUUAGUUAUCUUUCCAUUAUCUUAGUAUUUUGUUAAACUCAUUGUUUUCACAUAUGAGAAAGCUUGGGAAAAGGUAUACAAUAGAGAAUCUUUCUUUUUGAUUAAGUAAAGAAACAUAAUUUGAUAUGAAUUAUUUUAUCUUCAGAUGCUCUAAGAAGUGCUUCCUGUUGUAUAUUUGAAAGAGAUUCUUUCUUUUCUGGUAGAUUGCAUGGAGUUGAGGAGAUCAAGACAAUUAAAUAACCAUAUGUGAAAAGGAAGGAUGAUUUGCCACAACCCAAGGAGAAAGAGAAGCAUAUCGGCUUGUGGUCGAUUAUGAAGGAUAAUAUUGGGAAGGACUUGUCUGAAGUUUGUCUUCCUGUUUAUUUUAAUGAACCACUCUCAUCGUUGCCAGAUUGAUGAAUACUUUUGAUGAAUACUUUUGGUUGGUCCUUCAAGAUUGAUGAAUACUUUUGGUGGGUAUCAAUCAAUAUAGUAUAUAUUGAUGAAUACUUUUGGGGUUUAUUAUUAAUUCUUUAGAAUUUCAUUACAAUAUUUCUUAAAAUUUAAAUCAAAAAUAUUUUUGUCAAAAAAACAAUCAUCAAAACCGGAGCUCAAACUAUUGUUAAAUCGUGAUUUUUUGUUUGCAACAGUCAAAAUAUUUUGUCCCGUUACUUGAUCUCUGCAUGUUUAUUUUUUGAGAUUUUUGGCGUAUGUGAUCUCAAAGCAUAUAAAAACAAGUUUGACGGUUGGAUCGUUGAAAUUAAUUUCGUACAAUGCGUUUCCCAUCAAAACGAUUAAUUUACUAACACUUAGAGUUUAAUUAUAUUUUCAUUAAGUAUAACUUAAGAUUUUGUGGUAUCCACUUCUGUCAAUACUUUAAAUUGACGAUCGAAUUAGUUCAUUGUAUUAAUAUAGGGGCAAGGAAUUUAUCUGUAAAAAAUCAUCCAAAUCGAAGUUAAAACUACCGUUAAAUCGUGAUUUAUCGUUUAUAACCGUCGAAGUUGUUUUUCCUGUUACUUGAUCUUUGCAUGUUCGUUUUUUGCCAUUUUUGGCGUAUGAGAUCUUGAAGCAUAUAAAAAUAUGUUUGACGGUUGGAUCGUUGAAAUUAAUUUCGUACAAUGCGUUUACCAACAAAACGAUUGAUUUACUAACACUUAGAGUUUAACUAUAUUUUCAUUAAGUAUAACUUAAGAUUUUGUGGUAUCCACUUCUGUCAAUACUUUAAAUUGACGAUCGAAUUAGUUCAUUGUAUUCAUAUAGGGGCAAGGAGUGUAUCUGCCAAAAAUUAUACAAAUCGGAGUUAAAACUACCGUUAAAUCGGGAUUUUUCGCUUAUAACCGUCGAAAUUGUUUUUUCUGCUACUGGAUCUCCUCAUGUUUUUUUUUUUUUCAUUUUUUGUGUAUAGGAUCUUAAAGCAUAUAAAAACAUGUUUGACGGUUAGAUCGUUGAAAUUAAUUUCGUACAAUGCGUUUACCAUCAAAACGAUUGAUUUAUAAACACUUAGAGUUUAAUUAUAUUUUCAUUAAGUAUAACUUAAGAUUUUGUGCUAUCCACUUAUGUCAAUACUCUAAAUUGACGAUCAAAUUAGUUCUUUGUAUUCAUAUAGGGGCAAGGAGUGUAUCUGUAUAAAAUCAUCAAAAUCGGAGUUAAAACUACUGUUAAAUCGUGAGUUUUCGUUUAUAACCGUUGAAAUUGUUUUCCCUGUUACUUGAUCUCUGCAUGUUCGUUUUUUGCCAUUUUUGGCGUAUGAGAUCUUGAAGCAUAUAAAAACAUGUUUGACGGUUGGAUCGUUGAAAUUAAUUUCGUACAAUGCGUUUACCACAAAACGAUUGAUCUACUAACACUAAGAGUUUAAUUAUAUUUUCAUUAAGUAUAACUUAAGAUUUUGUGGUAUCCACUUCUGUCACUACUUUAAAUUGACGAUCGAAUUUGUUCAUUAUAUUCAUAUAGGGGCAAGGAAUUUAUCUGUAAAAAAUCAUCCAAAUCGGAGUUAAAACUACCGUUAUAUCGUGAUUUUUCGUUUAUAACCGUCGAAAUUGUUUUCCCUGUUACUUGAUCUCUGCAUGUUCGUUUUUUGCCAUUUUUGGUGUAUGAGAUCUUGAAGCAUAUAAUAACAUGUUUGAUGGUUGGAUCGUUGAAAUUAAUUUCGUACAAUGCGUUUACCAUCAAAAUGAUUGAUUUACUAACACUUAGAGUUUAAUUAUAUUUUCAUUAAGUAUAACAUAAGAUUUUGUGGUAUCCAGUUCUGUCAAUACAUUAAAUUGAUGAUCGAAUUAGAUCAUUGUAUUCAUAUAGGGGCAAGGAAUUUAUCUAUAAAAAAUCAUCCAAAUCGGAGUUAAAACUACCAUUAAAUCGUGAUUUUCGCUUAUAACCGUCGAAAUUAUUUUUUCUGUUACUGGAUCUCUGCAUGUUUGUUUUUUUCCCAUUUUUGGCGUAUGAGAUCUUGAAACAUAUAAAAACAAGAUUGACGGUUGGAUCGUUGAAAUUAAUUUCGUACAAUGCGUUUACCAUCAAAACGAUUGAUUUACUAACACUUAGAGUUUAAUUAUAUUUUCAUUAAGUAUAACUUAAGAUUUUGUGGUAUCCACUUCUGUCAAUACUUUAAAUUGACGAUCGAAUUAGUUCAUUGUAUUCAUAUAGGGGCAAGGAGUGUAUUUGUAAAAAAUCAUCCAAAUCGGAGUUAAAACUACGGUUAAAUCUUGAUUUGUCGUUUAUAACCGUCGAAAUUGUUUUUCCUGUUACUUGAUCUCUGCAUGUUCGUUUUUUGCCAUUUUUGGCGUAUGAGAUCUUGAUGCAUAUAAAAAUAUGUUUGACGGUUGGAUCGUUGAAAUUAAUUUCGUACAAUGCGUUUACUAUCAAAACGAUUGAUUUACAAACACUUCGAGUUUAAUUAUAUUUUCAUGAAGUAUAACUUCAAAUUUUGUGGUAUUCACCUCUGUCAAUACUUUAAAUUGACGAUCGAAUUUGUUCAUUGUAUUCAUAUAGGUGCAAGGAGUGUAUCUGUAAAAAAUCAUCCAAAUCAGAGUUAAAACUACCGUUAAAUCGUGAUUUUUCACUUUUAACCGUCAAAAUUGUUUUUUCUGUUACUGGAUCUCUGCAUGUUUGUUUUUUUCCAUUUUUGGCGUAUGGGAUCUUGAACCAUAUAAACACAUGCUUGACAGUUGGAUUGUUGAAAUUAAUUUCGUACAAUGCGUUUACCAUCAAAACGAUUGAUUUACUAACACUUGGAGUUUAAUUAUAUUUUGAUUAAGUAUAACUUAAGAUUUUAUGGUUUCCAUUUCUGUCAAUAAUUUAAAUUGAUGAUCGAAUUAGUUCAUUGUAUUCAUAUAGGGGCAAGGAAUUUAUCUGUAAAAAAUCAUCCAAAUCGGAGUUAAAACUACCGUUAAAUCGUGAUUUUUCGUUUAUAACCGUCGAAAUUAUUUUUUCUGUUACUAGAUCUCUGCAUGUUUGUUUUUUUCCAUUUUUGGCGUAUGGGAACUUGAAGCAUAUGAAAACAUGUUUGAUGGUUGGAUCGUUGAAAUUAAUUUCUUAGAAUGCGUUUACCAUCAAAACGAUUGAUUUACUAACACUUAGAGUUUAAUUAUAUUUUCAUUAAGUAUAACUUAAGAUUUUGUGGUAUCCACUUCUGUCAAUACUUUAAAUUGAUGAUCGAAUUAGUUCAUUGUAUUCAUAUAGGGGUAAGGAGUGUAUCUGUAUAAAAUCAUUAAAAUCGGAGUUAAAAAUACCGUUAAAUCGUGAGUGUUCGUUUAUAAUCGUUGAAAUUGUUUUUCCUGUUAUUGGAUCUCUGCAUGUUCUUUUUUUUUCCAUUUUUGGUGAAUGAGAUCUUGAAGCAUAUAAAAACAUGUUUGACGGUUAGAUCGCUGAAAUUAAUUUCGUACAAUGCGUUUACCAUCAAAACGAUUGAUUUACUAACGCUUAGAGUUUAGUUAUAUUUUCAUUAAGUAUAACUUAAGAUUUUGUGGUAUCCACUUCUGUCAAUACUUUAAAUUGAUGAUCAAAUUAGUUCAUUGUAUUCAUAUCGGGGCAAGGAAUGUUUCUGUAAAAAAUCAUCCAAAUCGGAGUUAAAACUACCGUUAAAUCGUGAUUUUUCUCUUAUAACCGUCGAAAUUGUUUUUUCUGUUACUGGAUCUCUGCUUGUUUGUUUUUUUUCCAUUUUUGGCGUAUGGGAUCUUGAAGCAUAUAAAAACAUGUUUGACGGUUGGAUCGUUGAAAUUAAUUUCGUACAAUGCGUUUACCAUCAAAAUGAUUGAUUUACUUACAUAUAGUUUAAUUUUAUUUUCAUUAAGUAUAACUUAAGAUUUUGUGGUAUCCACUUCUGUCAAUACUUUAAAUUGAUGAUUGAAUUAGUUCAUUGUAUUCAUAUAGGAGCAAGGAGUGUAUCUGUAUAAAAUCAUCAAAAUCGGAGUUAAAACUACCUUUAAAUCGUGAUUUUUCUUUUUUAACCGUCGAAAUUGUUUGUCUUGUUACUUGAUCUCUGCACAUUCGUUUUUGGCCAUUUUUGGUGUAUGAGAUCUUGAAGCAUAUAAAAACAAGUUUGACGGUUGGAUCGUUGAAAUUAAUUUCGUACAAUGCGUUUACCAUCAAAACAAUUGAUUUACUAACACUUAGAGUUUAAUUAUAUUUUCAUUAAGUAUAACUUAAGAUUUUGUGGUAUCCACUUCUAUCAAUACUUUAAAUUGAUGAUCAAAUUAGAUCAAUGUAUUCAUAUAGGGGCAAGGAGUGUAUCUGUAUAAAAUCAUCCCAAUCGGAGUUAAAACUACCGUUAAAUAGUGAUUUUUCGUUUUUAAUCGUCGAAAUUGUUUUUCCUGUUACUUGAUCUUUGCAUGUUCGUUUUUUGCCAUUUUUGGCGUAUGGGAUCUCGAAGCAUAUAAAAACAUGUUUGACGGUUGGAUCAUUGAAAUUAAUUUCGUACAAUGCGUUACCAACAAAACAAUUGAUUUACUAACACUUAGAGUUUAAUUAUAUUUUCAUUAAGUAUAACUUAAGAUUUUGUGGUAUCCACUUCUGUCAAUACUUUAAAUUGAUGAUCAAAUUAGUUCAUUGUAUUCAUAUGGGGGCAAGGAGUGUAUCUGUAAAAAAUCAUCCAAAUCGGUGUUAAAACUACCGUUAAAUCGUGAUUUUUCGCUUAUAACCGUCGAAAUUGUUUUUUCUGUUACUGGAUCUCCUCAUGUGUUUUUUUUCCAUUUUGGCGUAUGGGAUCUUGAAGCAUAUAAAAACAUGUUCAACGGUGGGAUCGUUGAAAUUAAUUUAGUACAAUGCGUUUAACAUCAAAACGAUUGAUUUACUAACACUUAGAGUUUAGUUAUAUUUUCAUUAAGUAUAACUUAAGAUUUUGUGGUAUCCACUUUUGUCAAUACUUUAAAUUGACGAUCGAAUUAGUUCAUUGUAUUCAUAUAGGGGUAAGGAGUGUAUCUGUAUAAAAUCAUUAAAAUCGGAGUUAAAACUACCGUUAAAUCAUGAAUUUUCGUUUAUAACCGUUGAAAUUGUUUUUCAUGUUACUGGAUCUCUACAUGUUCAUUUUUUUUUACUUUUUUGGUGAAUGAGAUCUUGAAGCAUAUAAAAACAUGUUUGAUGGUUAGAUCGUUGAAAUUAAUUUCGUACAAUGCGUUUACCAUCAAAACGAUUGAUUUACUAACACUUAGAGUUUAGUUAUAUUUUCAUUAAGUAUAACUUAAGAUUUUGUGGUAUCCACUUCUGUCAAUACUUUAAAUUGAUGAUCGAAUUAGUUCAUUGUAUUCAUAUCGGGGCAAGGAAUUUAUCUGUAAAAAAUCAUCCAAAUCGGAGUUAAAACUACUGUUAAAUCGUGAUUUUUCGUUUAUAACCGUCGAAAUUGUUUUUUCUGUUACUAGAUCUCUGCAUAUUUGUUUUUUUCCAUUUUUGGCGUAUGGGAACUUGAAGCAUAUGAAAACAUGUUUGAUGGUUGGAUCGUUGAAAUUAAUUUCUUAGAAUGCGUUUACCAUCAAAACGCUUGAUUUACUAACCCUUAGAGUUUAAUUAUAUUUUCAUUAAGUAUAACUUAAGAUUUUGUGGUAUCCACUUCCGUCAAUACUUUAAAUUGACGAUCGAAUUAGUUCAUUGUAUUCAUAUAGGGGUAAGGAGUGUAUCUGUAUAAAAGUCAUCCAAAUCGGAGUUAAAACUAUCGUUAAAUCGUUAGUUUUCGUUUAUAACCGUUGAAAUUGUUUUUCCUGUUACUUCAUCUCUGCAUGUUCAUUUUUUUUCCUUUUUUGGUGUAUGAGAUCUUGAAGCAUAUAAAAACAGGAUUGACGGUUAGAUCGUUGAAAUUAAUUUCGUACAAUGCGUUUACCAUCAAAACGAUUGAUUUACUAACACUAAGGGUUUAGUUAUAUUUUCAUUAAGUAUAACUUAAGAUUUUGUGGUAUCCACUUCUGUCAAUACUUUAAAUUGAUGAUCGAAUUAGUUCAUUGUAUUCAUAUAGGGGCAAGGAAUUUAUCUGUAUAAAAUCAUCAAAAUUGGAGUUAAAACUACCGUUAAAUCGUGAUUUUUCGUUUAUAACCGUCGAAAUUGUUUGUCUUGUUACUUGAUCUCUGCACAUUCGUUUUUGGCCAUUUUUGGUAUAUGAGAUCUUGAAGCAUAUAAAAACAAGUUUGACGGUUGGAUAGUUGAAAUUAAUUUCGUACAAUGCGUUUACCAUCAAAACAAUUGAUUUACUAACACUUAGAGUAUAAUUAUAAUUUAAGAUUUUGUGGUAUCCACUUCUAUCAAUACUUUAGAUUGAUGAUCGAAUUGGUUCAUUGUAUUCAUAUAGGGGCAAGGAGUGUAUCUGUAUAAAAUCAUCAAAAUCAGAGUUAAAAUUACCGUUAAAUCGUGAUUUUUCGUUUAUAACCGUCGAAAUUGUUUGUCUUGUUACUUGAUCUCUGGACAUUCGUUUUUGGCCAUUUUUGGUGUAUGAGAUCUCGAAGCAUAUAAAAACAAGUUUGACGGUUGGAUCGUUGAAAUUAAUUUCGUACAAUACGUUUACCAUCAAAACAAUAGAUUUACUAACACUUAGAGUUUAAUUAUAUUUUCAUUAAGAAUAACUUAAGAUUUUGUGGUAUCCACUUCUAUCAAUACUUUAAAUUGAUGAUCGAAUUAUCUCAUUGUAUUCAUAUAGGGGCAAGUAGUGUAUCUGUAUAAAAUCAUCCCAAUCGGAGUUAAAACUACCGUUAAAUAGUGAUUUUUCGUUUUUAACCAUCGAAAUUGUUUUUCCUGUUACUUGAUCUUUGCAUGUUUUUUUUUUCCAUUUUUGGCGUAUGGGAUCUCGAAGCAUAUAAAAAUAUGUUUGACGGAUGGAUCGUUGAAAUUAAUUUCUUAGAAUGCGUUUACCAUCAAAAUGAUUGAUUUACUGACACUUAGAGUAUAAUUAUUUUUUCAUUAAGUAUAACAUAAGAUUUUGUGGUAUCCACUUCUGUCAAUACUUUGAAUUGACGAUCGAAUUAGUUCAUUGUAUUCAUAUAAGGGCAAGGAAUUUAUCUGUAACAAAUCAUUCAAAUCGGAGUUAAAACUACCUUUAAAUCGUGAUUUUUCGUUUAUAACUGUCGAAAUUGUUUUUCCUGUUACUUGAUCUGUGCAUGUUCGUUUUUUGCCAUUUUUGGCGUAUUGGAUCUCGAAGCAUAUAAAAAUAUGUUUCACGGAUGGAUCGUUGAAAUUAAUUUCUUAGAAUGCGUUUACCAUCAAAAUGAUUGAUUUACUGACACUUGGAGUAUAAUUAUUUUUUCAUUAAGUAUAACUUAAGAUUUUGUGGUAUCCACUUCUGUCAAUACUUUAAAUUGAUGAUCAAAUUAGUUCAUUGUAUUCAUAUCGGGGCAAAGAAUUUAUCUGUAAAAAAUCAUCCAAAUCGGAGUUAAAACUAUUGUUAAAUCGUGAUUUUUCGUUUAUAACCGUCGAAAUUGUUUUUUCUGUUACUAGAUCUCUGCAUAUUUGUUUUUUUCCAUUUUUGGCGUAUGGGAACUUGAAGCAUAUUAAAACAUGUUUGAUGGUUGGAUCGUUGAAAUUAAUUUCUUAGAAUGCGUUUACCAUCAAAACGCUUGAUUUACUAACACUUAGAGUUUAAUUAUAUUUUCAUUAAGUAUAACUUAAUAUUUUGGGGUAUCCACUUCCGUCAAUACUUUAAAUUGACGAUCGAAUUAGUUCAUUGUAUUCAUAUAGGGGUAAGGAGUGUAUCUAUAUAAAAUCAUUAAAAUCGAAGUUAAAACUACUGUUAAAUCGUGAUUUUUCGUUUAUAACCGUCGAAAUUGUUUUUUCUGUUACUAGAUGUCUGCAUAUUUGUUUUUUUCCAUUUUUGGCGUAUGGAAACUUGAAGCAUAUGAAAACAUGUUUGAUGGUUGGAUCAAUGAAAUUAAUUUCUUAGAAUGCGUUUACCAUCAAAACGCUAGAUUUACUAACACUUAGAGUAUAAUUAUAUUUUCAUUAAGUAUAACUUAAGAUUUUGUGGUAUCCACUUCUAUCAAUACUUUAGAUUGAUGAUCGAAUAGGUUCAUUGUAUUCAUAUAGGGGCAAGGAGUGUAUCUGUUUAAAAUCAUCAAAAUCAGAGUUAAAACUACCGUUAAAUCGUGAUUUUUUGUUUAUAACCGUCGAAAUUGUUUGUCUUGUUACUUGAUCUCUGGACAUUCGUUUUUGGCCAUUUUUGGUGUAUGAGAUCUCGAAGCACAUAAAAACAAGUUUACGGUUGGAUCGUUGAAAUUAAUUUCGUACAAUGCGUUUACCAUCAAAACAAUUGAUUUACUAAGACUUAGAGUUUAAUUAUAUUUUCUUUAAGUAUAACUUAAGAUUUUGUGGUAUCCACUUCUAUCAAUACUUUAAAUUGAUGAUCAAAUUAGAUCAUUGUAUUCAUAUAGGGGCAAGGAGUGUAUCUGUAUAAAAUCAUCCCAAUCGGAGUUAAAACUACCGUUAAAUAGUGAUUUUUCGUUUUUAACCGUCGAAAUUGUUUUUCCUGUUACUUGAUCUUUGCAUGCUUUUUUUUUCCAUUUUUGGCGUAUGGGAUCUCGAAGCAUAUAAAAAUAUGUUUGACGGAUGGAUCGUCGAAAUUAAUUUCUUAGAAUGCGUUUACCAUCAAAAUGAUUGAUUUACUGACACUUAGAGUAUAAUUAUUUUUUCAUUAAGAAUAACAUAAGAUUUUGUGGUAUCCACUUCUGUCAAUACUUUGAAUUGACGAUCGAAUUAGUUCAUUGUAUUCAUAUAAGGGCAAGGAAUUUAUCUGUAAAAAAUCAUCCAAAUCGGAGUUAAAACUACCUUCAAAUCGUGAUUUUUCGUUUAUAACCGUCGAAAUUAUUUUUCCUGUUACUUGAUCUGUGCAUGUUCGUUUUUUGCCAUUUUUGGCGUAUUGGAUCUCGAAGCAUAUAAAAAUAUGUUUGACGGAUGGAUCGUUGAAAUUAAUUUCUUAGAAUGCGUUUACCAUCAAAAUGAUUGAUUUACUGACACUUGGAGUAUAGUUAUUUUUUCAUUAAGUAUAACUUAAGAUUUUGUGGUAUCCACUUCUGUCAAUACUUUAAAUUGAUGAUCGAAUUAGUUCAUUGUAUUCAUAUCGGGGCAAAGAAUUUAUCUGUAAAAAAUCAUCCAAAUCGGAGUUAAAACUACUGUUAAAUCGUGAUUUUUCGUUUAUAACCGUCGAAAUUGUUUUUUCUGUUACUAGAUCUCUGCAUAUUUGUUUUUUUCAAUUUUUGGCGUAUGGGAACUUGAAGUAUAUUCAAACAUGUUUGAUGGUUGGAUUGUUGAAAUUAAUUUCUUAGAAUGCGUUUACCAUCAAAACGCUUGAUUUACUAACACUUAGAGUUUAAUUAUAUUUUCAUUAAGUAUAAGUUAAUAUUUUGUGGUAUCCACUUCCUUCAAUACUUUAAAUUGACGAUCGAAUUAGUUCAUUGUAUUCAUAUAGGGGUAAGGAGUGUAUCUGUAUAAAAUCAUUAAAAUCGGAGUUAAAACUACCGUUAAAUCGUGAGUUUUCGUUUAUAACCGUUGAAAUUGUUUUUCCUGUUACUGGAUCUCUGCAUGUUCAUUUUUUUUUCCAUUUUUGGUGAAUGAGAUCUUGAAGCAUAUAAAAACUUGUUUGACGGUUAGAUCGUUGAAAUUAAUUUCGUACAAUGCGUUUACCAUCAAAACGAUUGAUUUACUAACACUAAGAGUUUAGUUAUAUUUUCAUUAAGUAUAACUUAAGAUUUUGUGGUAUCCACUUCUGUCAAUACUUUAAAUUGAUUAUUGAAUUAGUUCAUUGUAUUCAUAUCGGGGCUAGGAAUUUAUCUGUAAUAAAUCAUCCAAAUCGGAGUUAAAACUACCGUUAAAUCGUGAUUUUUCUCUUAUAACCGUCGAAAUUGUUUUUUCUGUUACUGGAACUCUGGUUGUUUGUUUUUUUUCCAUUUUUGGCGUAUGAGAUCUUGAAGCAUAUAAAAACAUGUUUGACGGUUGGAUCGUUGAAAUUAAUUUCGUACAAUGCGUUUACCAUCAAAAUGAUUGAUUUACUUACAUAUAGUUUAAUUUUAUUUUCAUAAAGUAUAACUUAAGAUUUGGUGGUAUCCACUUCUGUCAAUACUUAUUGAUGAUCGAAUUUGUUCAUUGUAUUCAUAUAGGGGCAAGGAGUGUAUAUGUAUAAAAUCAUCAAAAAUCGGAGUUAAAACUACCGUUAAAUCGUGAUUUUUCGUUUAUAACCGUCGAAAUUGUUUGUCUUGUUACUUGAUCUCUGCACAUUCGUUUUUGGCCAUUUUUGGUGUAUGAGAUCUUGAAGCACAUAAAGACAAGUUUGACGGUUGGAUCGUUGAUAUUAAUUUCGUACAAUGCGUUUACCAUCAAAAUGAUUGAUUUACUUACAUAUAGUUUAAUUUUAUUUUCAUUAAGUAAAACUUAAGAUUUUGUGGUAUCCACUUCUGUCAAUGCUUUAGAUUGAUGAUCGAAUUGGUUCAUUGUAUUCAUAUAGGGGCAAGGAGUGUAUCUGUAUAAAAUCAUCAAAAUCAGAGUUAAAACUACCGUUAAAUCGUGAUUUUUCGUUUAUAACCGUCGAAAUUGUUUGUCUUGUUACUUGAUCUCUGCACAUUCGUUUUUUUCCAUUUUUGGUGUAUGAGAUCUUGAAGCACAUAAAAACAAGUUUGACGGUUGGAUCGUCGAAAUUAAUUUCGUACAAUGCGUUUACCAUCAAAACAAUUGAUUUACUAACACUUAGAGUUUAAUUAUAUUUUCAUUAAGUAUAACUUAAGAUUUUGUGGUAUCCACUUCUAUCAUUACUUUAAAUUGAUGAUCAAAUUAGAUCAUUGUAUUCAUAUAGGGGCAAGGAGUGUAUCUGUAUAAAAUCAUCCCAAUCGGAGUUAAAACUACCGUUAAAUACUGAUUUUUCGUUUUUAAUCGUCGAAAUUGUUUUUCCUGUUACUUGAUCUUUGCAUGUUCGUUUUUUGCCAUUUUAGGCGUAUGGGAUCUCGAAGCAUAUAAAAAUAUGUUUGACGAAUGGAUCGUUGAAAUUAAUUUCCUAGAAUGCGUUUACCAUCAAAAUGAUUGAUUUACUGACACUUAGAGUAUAAUUAUUUUUUCAUUAAGUAUAACAUAAGAUUUUGUGGUAUCCACUUCUGUCAAUACUUUAAAUUGAUGAUCGAAUUAGUUCAUUGUAUUCAUAUAAGGGCAAGGAAUUUAUCUGUAAAAAAUCAUCCAAAUCGGAAUUAAAACUACCGUUAAAUCGUGAUUUUUCGUUUAUAACCGUCCAAAUUGUUUUCCCUGUUACUUGAUCUCUGCAUGUUCGUUUUUUGCCAUUUUUGGCGUAUGAGAUCUUGAAGAAUAUAAAAACAUGUUUGACGGUUGGAUCGUUGAAAUUAAUUUGUACAAUGGAUUACCAACAAAACGAUUGAUUUACUAACACUUAGAGUUUAAUUAUAUUUUGAUUAAGUAUAACUUAAGAUUUUGUGGUAUCCACUUCUAUCAAUACUUUAAAUUGAUGAUCAAAUUAGUUCAUUGUAUUCAUAUGGGGGCAAGGAGUGUAUCUGUAAAAAAUCAUCCAAAUCGGAGUUAAAACUACCGUUAAAUCGUUAUUUUUCGCUUAUAACCAGCGAAAUUGUUUGUUCUGUUACUGGAUCUCCUCAUGUUUUUUUUUUUCCAUUUUGGCGUAUGGGAUGUUGAAGCAUAUAAAAACAUGUUUGACGGUGGGAUCAUUGAAAUUAAUUUAGUACAAUGCGUUUACCAUCAAAACGAUUGAUUUACUAAGACUUAUAGUUUAGUUAUAUUUUCAUUAAGUAUAACUUAAGAUUUUAUAGUAUCCACUUCUGUCAAUACUUUAAAUUGACGAUCGAAUUAGUUCAUUGUAUUCAUAUAGGGGUAAGGAGUGUAUCUGUAUAAAACCAUUAAAAUCGGAGUUAAAACUACCGUUAAAUCGUGAGUUUUCGUUUAUAACCGUUGAAAUUGUUUUUCCUGUUACUGGAUCUCUGCAUGUUCAUUUUUUUUUCCAUUUUUUGUGAAUGAGAUCUUGAAGCAUAUAAAAACAUGUUUGACGGUUAGAUCGUUGAAAUUAAUUUCGUACAAUGCGUUUACCAUCAAAAUGAUUGAUUUACUAACACUUAUAGUUUAAUUAUAUUUUCAUUAAGUGUAACUUAAGACUUUGUGGUAUCCACUUCUGUCAAUACUUUAAAUUGAUGAUCGAAUUAGUUCAUUGUAUUCAUAUAGGGGCAAGGAAUUUAUCUGUAAAAAAUCAUCCAAAUCGGAGUUAAAACUACCUUUAAAUCGUGAUUUUUCGUUUAUAACCGUCGAAAUUGUUUUUCCUGGUACUUGAUCUGUGCAUGUUCGUUUUUUGCCAUUUUUGGCGUAUUGGAUCUCGAAGCAUAUAAAAAUAUGUUUGACGGAUGGAUCUUUGAAAUUAAUUUCUUAGAAUGCGUUUACCAUCAAAAUGAUUGAUUUACUGACACUUGGAGUAUAAUUAUUUUUUCAUUAAGUAUAACUUAAGAUUUUGUGGUAUCCACUUCUGUCAAUACUUUAAAUUGAUGAUCGAAUUAGUUCACUGUAUUCAUAUAGGGGCAAGGAAUUUAUCUGUAAAAAGUCAUCCAAAUCGGAGUUAAAACUACCGUUAAAUCGUGAUUUUUCGUUUACAACCGUCGAAAUUGUUUUUCCUGUUACUUGAUCUCUGGAUGUUCGUUUUUUGCCAUUUUUGACGUAUGAGAUCUUGAAGCAUAUAAAAACAUGUUUGACGGUUGGAUUGUUAAAAUUAAUUUUGUACAAUGCGUUACCAAGAAAACGAUUGAUUUACUAACACUUAGAGUUUAAUUAUAUUUUCAUUAAGUAUAACUUAAGAUUUUGUGGUAUCCACUUCUGUCAAUACUUUAAAUUGAUGAUCGAAUUAGUUCAUUGUAUUCAUAUGGGGGCAAGGAGUGUAUCUGUAAAAAAUCAUCCAAAUCGAAGUCAAAACUACCGUUAAAUCGUGAUUUUUCACUUAUAACCGUCGAAAUUGUUUUUUCUGUAACUGGAUCUCCUCAUGUUUUUUUUUUCCAUUUUGGCGUAUGGGAUCUUGAAGCAUAUAAAAACAUGUUUGACGGUGGGAUCGUUGAAAUUAAUUUCGUACAAUGCGUUUACCAUCAAAACGAUUGAUUUACUAACACUUAGAGUUUGGUUAUAUUUUCAUUAAGUAUUACUUAAGAUUUUGUGGUAUCCACUUCUAUCAAUACUUUAAAUUGAUGAUCGAAUUAGUUCAUUGUAUUCAUAUUGGGGCAAGGAAUUUAUCUGUAAAAAAUCGUCCAAAUCAGAGUUAAAACUACCGUUAAAUCGUGAUUUUUCUCUUAUAACUGUCGAAAUUGUUUUUUCUGUUACUGGAUCUCUGCUUGUUUGUUUUUUUUCCAUUUUUGGCGUAUGGGAUCUUGAAGCAUAUAAAAACAUGUUUGACGGUUGGAUCGUUGAAAUUAAUUUCGUACAAUUCGUUUACCAUCAAAAUGAUUGAUUUACUUACAUAUAGUUUAAUUUUAUUUUCAUUAAGUAUAACUUAAGAUUUUGUGGUAUCCACUUCUGUCAAUACUUUAAAUUGAUGAUCGAAUUAGUUCAUUGUAUUCAUAUAGGGGCAAGGAGUGUAUUUGUAUAAAAUCAUCAAAAUCGGAGUUAAAACUACCGUUAAAUCGUGAUUUUUUGUUUAUAACCGUCGAAAUUGUUUGUCUUGUUACUUGAUCUCUGCACAUUCGUUUUUGGCCAUUUUUGGUGUAUGAGAUCUUGAAGCAUAUAAAAACAAGUUUGACGGUUGGAUCGUUGAAAUUAAUUUCGUACAAUGCGUUUACCAUCAAAACAAUUGAUUUACUAACACUUAGAGUUUAAUUAUAUUUUCAUUAAGUAUAACUUAAGAUUUUGUGGUAUCCACUUCUAUCAAUACUUUAAAUUGAUGAUCGAAUUAGAUCAUUGUAUUCAUAUAGGGGCAAGGAGUUUAUCUGUAUAAAAUCAUCCCAAUCGGUGUUAAAACUACCGUUAAAUAGUGAUUUUUCAUUUUUAAUCGUUGAAAUUGUUUUUCCUGUUAUUUGAUCUCUGCAUGUUCGUUUUUUGUCAUAUUUGGCGUAUGAGAUCUUGAGGCAUAUAAAAAUAUGUUUGACGGUUGGAUCGUUGAAAUUAAUUUCGUACAAUUCGUUUCCCAUCAAAACGAUUGAUUUACUAACACCUAGAGUUUAAUUAUAUUUUCAGUAUGGAUAACUUAAGAUUUUGUGGUAUCCACUUUUGUCAAUACUGUAAAUUGACGAUCGAAUUUGUUCAUUGUAUUCAUUUUGGGGUAAGGAGUGUAUCUGUAUAAAAUCAUCAAAAUCGGAGUUAAAACUACUGUUAAAUAGUGAUUUUUCGUUUAUAACCGUCGAAUUUUUUUUUUCUUGUUACUUGAUCUCUGCAUGUUCUUUUUUUGCCAUUUUUGGUGUAUGUGAUCUUGAAGCAUAUAAAAACAUGUUUGACGGUUAGAUCGUUGAAAUUAAUUUCGUACAAUGCGUUUCCCAUCAAAACGAUUGAUUUGCUAACACUUAGAGUUUAAUUGUAUUUUCAUUAAGUAUAACUUAAGAUUUUGUGGUAUCCACUUUUGUAAAACUUUAAAUUGAUGAUCGAAUUUGUUCAUUGUAUUCAUAUAGGGUCAAGUAGUGUAUCUGUAAAAAAUUUUCAAAAUUGGAGUUUAAACUACCGUUAAAUCGUGAUUUUUCGUUUAUCAUCGUCGAAAUUUUUUUUCCUGUUUCUUGAUCUCUGCAUGUUCGUUUCUUGCCAUUUUUGGCGUAUGUGAUCUCGAAUCAUAUACAAACAAGUUUGACGGUUGGAUCGUUGAAACUAUUUUCGUACAAUGGAUUUCCUAUCAAGUUCAAUGCUAUGUAUAUUUAAUAAGUAGAUUUUAAUUUAUUUAUUUUGUAGUUAUAACACUUAAGAGAUUGAAUGAUAUAUAUGUUAAAAUAAUUAUUGACACAUCCCGAUCCUUGAAUCAAGGCGUGCUGGCCGCCACGUGAGUGUGACGUAACCAAAAGUGCGGUGCGGAAGCAAGGUAUAAGAAAAAUACGAAGGAAUAAAAACCAACUACUAGCAGUAAUAACCAACUAGCAUGCUAGAGUGAAUAUAAUUGUGCAGUACACCAGUUCAGAGCAUAAAGAAAACUAGGUACAGUCGAGGAGGACUAUAAUUAAAGAACCUCGUGAGCCACCAACUGCUAACUAGAACCUGGAGGGGCGCAAAAACAAAAUUGAGUGGGUCAGUAAAAUCAAAGUUUUCCAAAACAUUUCAUUAAAAACGUUUCUAACCCCUCACUGUAAAACCCGUAUACUUUCCCAGAAAAUAACAUAGUAGCUUAUAAAACCUCAUACGUCACAAGUCACCAAUCUAUCACAAAUCCAGGAAUAUGCCAUGCCAUAAAUGUCAAUAACAAAACAUAGAUGCAUCAAAAUAACAGGUGACAUAAUGAAUUAACCAGAGACCCUGCAGUUGGUCCUGUACGGUUAAUUCCAUAGUUCAAUAUCCAACCCAGCCGGAGUCACCACGGUGACCUGUACGACACUACUCUGCACAUAAGUCGGAACUACUUGAAGUAGUCUGUAUGACAAGAAUGGUGUAAUGAUACGCUCUAGUGCUUCUCUCAUCAAUCAUUUGCGCGCGUAAUCUAAGGUCACCUACUAGUCGGAACCACCUCUAGUGGUCUGUACGACUAGCAUGUCGGAACCCUCUCAUGGUCUGUACGACAUGCACCUACUUGGAUCUAAGGUGAGCAUGUGGUGCGGUGAAUAAUAUAAGCACUAACACCAGGGUGCAGGUUAUGAGCUUUCAACACAAUUCGCAUCAUCAAUGAUUCACAUAAGUAACAUAAAACUCACCUGAUACUCACCUGUGCGUCCACAGCACCAAAUCACAUAUAUAUAUGCAUUCAAAUCCAUUCAUAUAAUUCAUAAUAUGCAUGCAUGGCAAUUGAAAACAUACUUUCAUAUAAAUUCAAUUUAUGGGAAAAUUAAUAGUAUAUAGGUAUAUACUGAAAACAAAACUGCCGACUCACUGGUAAGUCGAUGGGUCGUAACCCCUGUGACGUCCCUGAAUGCGCUUGUCCUCGGGAUAGGUGUCACCUAUAUGCGAAACAACUAUAAAAACGUUAAUUAAUGCACAUAACCAAUAAUUCGAAAUAACUUGUCAUAUGGUGCCCAAUUUGGGUAUAUGAAUAUACCACAUCGACCUACUCGACGUCACGGACGUCGAGAAAUUUUUAGAAUUUUUUUUUGACGUGGCACGUGCUCCCACGCGCCGGGAAGGUCACAGGUUCACGCGCCCCCACGCGCGUCUUCUUCCUCAAGCUCGCCAGAUUGAGUUUUCCGGUGGCCGAAAAACUGGAGUUUUUUCAAUCUCCUUGUUCUCCGUCGUUUCUCAACCGUUUUCUUCGUAUUUUAUAUCAAUUUGAAGCCCUCAACAUGUAGAGUCACAUUGGACUAAUUUCAGGCUCUAAAAAUAACUAAAUCUCACUGGAAAAAUUUCAAGAAAAACCGGCCAACUUCGAACUCGACGAUCCUGACGUCCAAAACCUUCCAACUAGGUACCCCGAGCUUCCUUAGGACCUCACUAAGCUCACUAUAAGGUUGGAUUGUCCUAAAAAUCAACCAGCACAAAGUUCAUGAAUAGUGCCAAACUCGGACCUCGAGUUUUCAACGUGAAAACGAAGGGUUUCUUACCUGAAAUGGGUGUGGUUGAGUUCGUAGAGUCCUCACGAGCACGAUGGUGCCUUCAAAAUCCUCGAUCCAUGAAGUUUCAGGGUUUUAUGGUGUUGGUCCGUACGGUUCAAGAGGGAGAGAGAGACUGAAAUGGAGAGGAGAGAGAGAAGGCAUGGGGAAUGAAGGGUUAUCCCGUGUGUGUAGGUGUGUGGUUCCUCAAAACCAUUCCCCCUUAUUUUCCUAACCACAUAAUUUACAAACCAAUUUUUAAUCCAACUUAAAAUAUUUUCCAAAAGCUUGAAAUACAUGAAUUUAAUCCAACUAAUAUGUCACACACACAAUGUCGAAGCAUCGAGACAUGAAACACAUUAUGUACCUUAGAUAACUCCGGAGGCAACUCCAACCUGUAGGCAACUUCACCAACCUUCUCAGUGAUCUCAUAAGGUCCUAUGUACCUACGACUCAAUUUGCCUUUCUUUCCAAAUCGCACUACACCUUUCCAAGGUGACAAUUUCAAGAAUACCAAAUUACCCACAUCGUAAACUCGAUCAGUAGCAUGUCUAUCUGCUAAACUCUUUUGUCGAUCCUGGGCCGCUUUCAGGUUAGACUUAAUCACCUGAAUAUUUUGAGUAGUCUCAUCCACAAUCUCUGGGCCUUCUAACACUCUUUCGCCAACCUCUAACUAACACAAUGGUGUACGACAAGCUCUACCAUAAAGUGCCUCAAAUGGUGACAUACAAAUGCUCGAAUGAAAACUAUUAUUAUAGGCAAAUUCCAUCAAGUCUAGGCGGUUAUGCCAAGAAUCACCAAACUGCAAUACUGAAGAUCUCAACAUAUCCUCCAACGUCUGAAUAGUCCUAUCUGAUUGUCCAUCGGUUUGAGGAUGAUAAGCAGUGCUGUAAAGCAAUUUCUUACCAAGAGCUUCCUGAAAAGCUACCCAAAACUUAGAAGUAAAUCUUGGAUCUCGAUCAGAAAUAAUAUUCACUGGAACUCCAUGAUACUUCACAAUCUUCGUGAUGAACAACUUAGCCAAUUUAUUUAGGGGAUACUUUUCACUUACUGGAAUGAAGUGCGCUGACUUGGUAAGUCGAUCUACAAUCACCCGAACACCAUCAAAUCCAUUUCGUGUACGAGGGAGCUUAUACACGAAAUCCAUAGUUAUAUUUUCCCAUUUCCACUGAGGAACAGGAAGUGGUUGCAUUCGCCCAAAAAGCUUCUUUCUUUCCGCUUUGACUUGCUGACAAACAAUACACCUACUUACAUAUUCUGCAAUUUCUCUCUUCAUACCCGGCCAAUAAUAAAAUGGUCGAAUCGUAUGGUACAUUUUAGUUCCUCCUGGGUGCAUCGCAUAAGCUGAAUAAUGUGCUUCGUCCAAAAUUUCUUUCUUUAAUUCCUCAUUAUUCGGCACAUACAUUCUGUUCUCCUGCAUAAGCAUGCCAUCUGAUUCUCGAAUCCUAAGGUCUUUCUUUUUCCCUUCAUUUCUCAAUUGAAUCAUUUCUUGAAUUUCUUCAUCAACCAUCUGAGCUUCAAGUACAUGAUCAACCAAAACUGGCCUGACUUGGAAACUAGCAAGAAAAGCUUCUCUUCGAUCUUCUAACUCCAGCUUUACUCCAGUAGCUCUCAAUCCUGCAAGAAGAGGAAUACGGCAAGCAUACACAACAUAGAGGCGACCUUGAGGUUUCCUACUCAGUGCAUCAGCUACCACAUUAGCAUGACCCGGAUGAUACUCAAUAGUACAGUCAUAAUCACUUAGUAAUUCCAUCCACCUUCGCUGGCGAAGAUUAAGAUCAUGCUGAGUAAAUAGAUACUGAAGACUCUUAUGAUCUGUGAAGAUCUUACACUUCUCACCAUAGAGAUAAUGCCUCCAAAUCUUCAAAGCAAAGACAAUGGCUGCCAAUUCAAGAUCAUAAGUAGGAUAAUUCCUUUCAUGAAUCUUCAACUGUCGAGAAGCAUAAGCGAUCACUCUAUUAUGCUGCAUCAAAACACAUCCCAAACCAUUCAAAGAGGCAUCACUGUAAAUUUCAAAGUUACCACUAUCAUCAGGAAGUACCAAUAUUGGAGCAUGAGUGAGACAAUAUUUCAAUUGCUGGAAACUUUGCUUACAAUUCUCAUCCCACUCGAACUUAACAUCCUUCCUGGUUAACUUUGUUAAUGGCAAAGCAAUCAUAGAAAAAUCUUGAACAAACCGUCGAUAAUAACCUGCUAGACCAAGAAAACUCCGUACCUCAGUGACGGUUCGCGGUUGUUCCCAAUUUUCCACUGCUGCUAUCUUUUGAGGAUCUACUUGAAUUCCUUGUGCCGAUACUACAUGCCCCAAAAAUGCCACUUUGUUCAACCAAAAUUGACAUUUACUGAGCUUGGCAUACAACUGGUGCUCCCUCAAUUUCUUUAAUACCAAGUUAAGAUGUCGAAUAUGAUCUGCCUUAGACUUAGAGUAUACCAGAAUAUCAUCGAUAAAAACAAUAACAAAUUUAUCAAGAUAUUGCUGGAAUACCUCAUUCAUUAACAUCAUGAAAGCUGCAGGUGCAUUAGUCAAUCCAAAUGGCAUCACUAAAAAUUCAUAAUGUCCGUAACGGGUCUUGAAAGCCGUCUUAGGUACAUCUUCGUCUUUAAUCUUCAACUGAUAAUAACCAGAUCUUAAAUCAAUCUUAGAGAACACACACGCACCUUUCAAUUGAUAAAACAAAUCAUCGAUGCGAGACAAUGGAUAACGGUUUUUAAUCGUCACCCAAUUCAAUUGCCUAUAAUCAAUACAUAAUCUCAGAGUUCCAUCUUUCUUUCUCGCAAAUAAUACCGGAGCUCCCCAAGGUGACGUACUAGGUUGAAUGAAACCUUUAUCAAGUAAUUCUUGUAAAUAAAUUUUCAACUCUCUUAGUUCAGUUGGAGCCAUUCUGUACGGGGUUAAAGAUAUAGGAUCUGUACCUGGAAGCAAAUCAAUGGAAAAUUCCACAUCUCUGUCUGGCGGCAAUCCCGGCAAAUCAUCUGGAAAUACAUUAGGAUAGUGCCUAACUACUCCAACUUCCUCUACACUGUUAGGGGCAACAUCAUUUAACACCACAUGUGCUAAGUAUCCUUGAUAACCCUUCGAUAAUAAUUUCCUUGCCCUCAUGGCAGAAAUAACUCCAUGUCUCACCCCGCUUCUUUCACCCACAAAAGUAACCUCUGGUAAUCCAGGACGAUAAAAGGUAAUAGAUUUCCCGUAACAAUCAAUAUGGGCACGAUUAUAAUGCAACCAAUCUGCCCCUAGAAUCACAUCAAAAUCGACAAUAUCUAACGAGAUAAGAUUAGCUGGCAUAACUACACCUUCUACCAUCACUGGACACCCAGGAUAAACACUAUCAACAUAACAUUUAUCCCCUCUAGGCAUGGCAAACUCUAAAUCAAAUCCUAGAGGUGUAGGGUGAGGUUGUGUCAUUUGAGCAAACGUAUGAGAAAUCACAGAAUGGGUAGCACCACAAUCAAUCAAAACUCUAGCAAAGUGACCAAGGAUAUUUAACGUACCCAUAAUCAAAUUUGGAUGGUUCUGAGCAUCUUGUAGUGAUAUGUGAUUAACACGUACCUGAGCUUGCUGUCGUCCACCACGACCUCUGUUGCCUUGGUUACCUCACCCUUGUGAAGUACGUCCCUGUCCUGACUGAUUAGACUGCCUCGUUGAUCCUGCACCACUAGCAGCAACCUCUCCCUGACGAAGCUGACCUCCCUGAUGCCGCUGAGAUCCACUGGCAGGCAUAGAAGAAUAAAAAGGAUAACCCCUAGGGUCUUGGGAAUACCCAAUCUGAGAAUAAGGAUCUUGGGAAUACUGAUACUGUUCGGAAGCAUAGGGAGCAGCAUCACCUUGAUAGUGGUAAACACCACCACGACUCGUCUGACUAUAACUGCCUGAUCUAAAGUUCUGCUGAAUCGGCGCUGGAGGUGGCAUAGCAGACUGCUGAGACUUCUGUUGACUCUGGGGACACUGAGCAGCCCUAUGUCCCAUCUAUCCACAAGUGUAGCAAGCACCACCACUACCACUUCUCCUACACUCUCCAUGAUGUCUGAAGUUACAACGGUGGCAUAACGGAGCACCAGAACCACCAGCACCACCAAAAUCUCUCUGUCUCUGAAAUAUAGGCCCGCCAGCAAAUCUUCCACCUCUCCUCGAGCCUGUGACACUAAAUCCUCCACUGGAAGAACUCGAACUCGCUCCACUUUUCUUAAAAUUCUGUGUCUUACAAGGUCUCUGAGUGGAGAUACCCUUGCCCUUAUCAUCCUUCUUCUGACUAUCAUUCUUGUCCUCAUCAUCCUCACUGUCACUAGGAAGGUUGUCGGAAUCCUCCAUCCGAACCAGAAUCUCAAAAAACUCUUGAUAAUCGUUGCAAGGAAGUGCACUAGCAAAAGUCCGCCAUUUCCUCUUAGUUCCCAGCUUAAAACGACGAAGCAUCUCUACCUGAUUACCAACUGUAUCAGGAUCAUAACAAGACAAGUCUGUAAACUUCCUGUAAUACUCAUGUGCCGACAUAUUCUUUUGCUUUAAUCGAGGGAACUCCUGCUUCUUGCGAUCAAUGUACUCCGGAAGGACAAAUCUUUUCUUAAAAUGUUCCUUGAAUACUUCCCAAUCAGCUGCCAUCUCAGGGGACAUAAACUGAGUUUGAUUUUUCUACCAACCUGCAGGCUCUCGUCCCAAAAACCAAGUAGUGGUCUCAACCCAUCUAUUAGCAGGAAAAUUCCCUUGACUCUGCAUCACCUGAAAAGUCAUCUCAAUAUGGUCUAGCCACUUUUCUGCCCCUUCAUGACCUUCAUUACCCAUGAAAUGAUCUAAUUUCAGAUUAUACAUAGUCUCCAGGGGUGUCCUCUGAGGAGGAGGAUGGGGCAUAUUGCAUUCUGAAAGGCCUGUGCCAUCGCUUCCCCUAAUUGAGUUAUAUCAGGGAAAUUAGGUUUAGAAGCACGGUGUGACUCCCUACGAGGCGGAAUAAUUCUGACAGAAAACAUCAAAAGAUCAUUAGAGCAUUAACAAUUAUACAGGACUGUAACCUAGGCUCUGAUACCAAACUGACACACCCCGAACCUAGAAUCAAGGCGUGCUGGCCGCCACGUGAGUUUGACGUAACCAAAAGUGCGGUGCAGAAGCAAGGGAUAAGAAAAAUACGAAGGAAUAAAAACCAACUACUAGCAGUAAUAACCAACUAGCAUGCUAGAGUGAAUAUAAUUGUGCAGUACACCAGUUCAGAGCAUAAAGAAAACUAGGUGCAGUCAAGGAGGACUAUAAUUAAAGUACAACACCCGCAGGUGAGUCCUACGUGCAGGAAGUCUGUCAGAACGCCGAAGAAAACCUCGUGAGCCACCAACUGCUAACUAGAACCUGGAGGGGCGCAAAAACAAAAUUGAGUUUGCAGUAAAAUCAAAGUUUUCCAAAACAUUUCAUUAAAAAAGUUUCUAACCCCUCACUGUAAAACCCGUAUACUUUCCCAGAAAAUAACAUAGUAGCUUAUAAAACCUCAUACAUCACAAGUCACCAAUCUAUCACAAAUCCAGGAAUAUGCCAUGCCAUAAAUGUCAAUAACAAAACAUAGAUGCAUCAAAAUAACAAGUGACAUAAUGAAUUAACUGGAGACCCUGCAGUUGGUCCUGUAUGGUUAAUUCCAUAGUUCAAUAUCCAACCCAGCCGGAGUCACCACGGUGACCUGUACGACACUACUCUGCACAUAAGUCAGAACUACUUGAAGUAGUCUGUAUGACAAGAAUGGUGUAAUGAUACGCUAUAGUGCUUCUCUCAUCAAUCAUCUGCACGUGUAAUCUAAGGUCACCUACUAGUUGGAACCACCUCUAGUGGUCUGUACAACUAGCAUGUCGGAACCCUCUCAUGGUCUGUACGACAUGCACCUACUUGGAUCCAAGGUGAGCGUGCGGUGCGGUGAAUAAUAUAAGCACUAACACCAGGGUGCAGGUUAUGAGCUCUCAACACAAUUCGCAUCAUCAAUGAUUCACAUAAGUAACAUAAAACUCACCUGAUACUCACCUGUGCGUCCACAGCACCAAUUCACUUAUAUAUAUGCAUUCAUAUCCAUUCAUAUAAUUCAUAAUAUGCAUGCAUGGCAAUUGAAAACAUACUUUCAUAUAAAUUCAAUUUCUGGGAAAAUUAAUAGCAUAUAGGUAUAUACUGAAAACAAAACUGCCCACUCACUGGUAAGUCGAUGGGUCGUAACCCCCGUGGCGUCCCUAGAUGCGCUCGUCCUCGGGAUAGGUGUCACCUAUAUGUGAAACAACUAUAAAAACGUUAAUUAAUGCACAUAACCAAUAAUUCGAAAUAACUUGUCAUACGGUGCCCAAUUUGGGUAUAUGAAUAUACCACAUCGACCUACUCGACGUCACGGACGUCGAGAAAUUUUUAGAAUAUUUUUUUGACGUGGCACACGCCCCCACGCAUCGGGAAGGGCACGGGUUCACACGCCCCCACGCGCGUCUUCUUCCUCGAGCUCGUCAGACUGAGUUUUCCGGUGGCCGGAAAACUGGAGAUUUUUUAAUUUCCUUGUUCUCCGUCGUUUCUCAACCGUUUUCUUCGUAUUUUAUAUCAAUUUGAAGCCCUCAAACAACUAAAUCUCACCGGAAAAAUUUCAAGAAAAACCGGCCAACUUCGAACUCGACGAUCUCGACGUCCAAAACCUUCCAACUAGGUACCCGGAGCUUCCUUAGGACCUCACUAAGCUCACUAUAAGGUUGGAUUGUCUUAAAAAUCAACCAACACAAAGUUCAUGAAUAGUGCCAAACUCGGACCUCGAGUUUUCAACGUGAAAACGAAGGGUAUCUUACCUGAAAUGGGUGUGGUUGAGUUCGUAGAGUCCUCACGAGCACGAUGGUGCCUUCAAAAUCCUCGAUCCACGAAGUUUUAGGGUUUUAUGGUGUUGGUCUGUGCGGUUCAAGAGGGAGAGAGAGAUUGAUAUGGAGAGGAGAGAGAGAAGGCACGGGGAAGGAAGGGUUAUCCUGUGUGUGUAGGUGUGUGGUUCCUCAAAACCAUUCCCCCUUAUUUUCCUAACCACAUAAUUUACAAACCAAUUUUUAAUCCAACUUAAAAUAUUUUCCAAAAGCUUGAAAUAUAUGAAUUUAAUCCAACUAAUAUGUCACACACACACACACACACACACAUACCUUAAUACCCGUCAAGGGCAAUUCCAUCAUUUCACGUUCCCGAUAUAAAAAAUCCCGAGAUGGGCUGUGACAAUUAUUAUGGGUUUUUGUUAGAAAAAUAUAUUAUUGUGUGGUUUAAGUAAAAAAAAAAAAAAUUUGAACUUGAAAGGAGUAAAGUCACAUUUUCAAUAAAUUUUGUAAUAAUUUUCUAAAAAUAAAAAUAACUUGCGUGACGCUUUAAUGUAAUCGUCGCGCAAAACCACUUUGCGGGACGUCAAAUUGUAUACCUACGUCACGCCAGUUGAUAAUUUUGGCGGUGAAUAAUUAAAAAGAGGUGAAUAAUGAAAAUUUUUGGUGCUGAACCCGUUGACCUAUUUCUUCCAUUUCGCUCAUUCUUUCCCGUAUCUCCCCUUCCCUUUCGCAUAAUCCUUCAUCUUUCCCUUUCGCAUAAUCCUCAUAUCUCCCUCUCGCCCUCUCGCUCUGUCUUCCCCGUCACUCUAUCUCCCUUUUCCAUAAUUCUCAUCUACUCUUCCCGUAGUCCUCAUCUCCUCUAUCUCUCCUGUUCGACUUGAUCCCCAAAUCUUGAACCCAGACCUGUCUUCCCUCUCUCUUUCCCGUAUACCUCUAUCUUCCCUUUCGUACUAAACAACGGGCAGCUACACGAAUCUCGAAACCGACGUGAAUUAAGUCUCAAAAUCAAGGUAAGGGUUUCUGAUGCAAAUGUUGGUCUGGUUACUGAAUUUAACUGAUGCAAAAUGUUGGCCUAGUUACUGAAUUUAGUUGGUCUGAUGCAAAAUUAAGGUUGAAUUGAUUUAAUUAAUUUAUUGAAUUUAGCUCACCUGAUGCAAAUGUUGGUCUUUGGUUACUGAUUAAUUUAUGAAUAUCUCUGAUUUUAUGAGAUGGGUUUUGUUUAGUCUCCAACAUUCGAAGGCUUGACGUUCGAAGGCUUCAACAUUCGAAGGCUUGACUGAUUAAUUUAUGAUUAUGAGAUGGGUUUUGUUUAGUCUCCAAUAUCUCUCAAUAUCUCUGAUUUUAUGAGAUGGGUUUUACUGAUUAAUUUAUGGUUUGGUUGAAAUAGCAAUUAAGUCUCCAACAUUCGAAGGCUUGACGUUCUUGUGUGAUGUUUUUCUCCCUCUAUGUGCAGACGGUUCCUGCUUGUCAAAAUCUCCAAGGCUUGACGGUUCCUGCAGACGGUUCCGGCUUGACGUUCUUUGCUACUCCGUAUGAAUUAGCUUGAGGGUGAGCCUAUCAGUGUCCCUCACCUACUUGUAAACAGCAGCUUCUCAGCAGCCUCACCUACUUGUGGGGUUUCCUUCUUUGAAUGGUUUUUCCUCUUGGGUUGUUGUGUUUUUGGAUUCUCAAAUUGAUUAAUCGUCCAGCGAUUUCAGCUCAAGGAUCAAAAGCGAUUUUGGCCUCUUCUUUUUUGCUUUGGGUUUUAGUUGAUUAUAUGUAAAGCUGGAUUCUAGAACUCAAUUACAUGUACAAGAACAACAAAAAAGUGACACAACUUGCAUAAAACAUUAGUUACUUUGAUCUGUCGUGUUUUAGGCUGCCUAGUUCACCUGUUUUCUUAAACAAGAUUGUCUCUACUAGCCAACCUUAAGCAUUGAAAACGUAGGUAUUCCUGGCCUUUCUGUUCGUCUUCGAUUACGAUCUGUUUGGUUUAACUUUUCUGCACUAAUUUGAUUAUUUAUAUAUUGGUGGUGUUACUUUUGUUUCAACUUUUCCCUUUUUUUUUUUUUUUUAACUUUUGGUCCAAUGGUUUUUAAUCGCGUAAAUUUUGAUGCUUUCUUGUUGUCGUCUUGUUGCCAUGAUUGAUCCCUAGAAGUCUUGUUGAUUGCAUUUAGGCAUCUUUCUCUAGCCUUUCUCUGGGAGCGAUUCAAAAUCUGUUUAUUAGCACCUCAUCAAUAGUAUAUAUGAAGAAGUUUGUUACUUGAAAAUUAGUUACUUUGAUCUGUCGUGUUUUAGGCUGCCUAGUUCACCUGUUUUCUCAAACAAGAUUGUCUCUACUAGUCAACCUUAAGCAUUGAAAAUGUAGGUAUUCCUGGCCUUUCUGUUCGUCUUCGAUUACGAUCUGUUUGGUUUAACUUUUCUGCACUAAUUUGAUUAUUUAUAUAUUGGUGGUGUUACUUUUGUUUCAACUUCCCCCCCCCCCUUUUUUUUUUUAACUUUUGGUCCAAUUGUUUUUAAUCGCGUAAAUUUUGAUACUUUCUUGUUGUCGUCUCGUUGCCAUGAUUGAUCUCUUGAAGUCUUGUUGAUUACAUUUCUCUAAGAAGCAUCUCGUCCUCUGUGAAAGUCAAUUUUUACACAUGGUUUAUUUAUUCAGUUUUCUUGCCCUUUUCUUCUAGUUUCAAAUGCAAGAAAUGAUUAGUUUCUAAUGUUAUAUUUUUAUGGUUCAAAAAGUGUAGAUGUCGCGGUAGAUCACUCGUCGUAGGAGUGUGACCAAUGCGCCUCCCGCAUUAUCACCAUCUACUGCUCCGGCCGUGAUUGCUCUAUUGAUUGGGGAGCCUACAUCCUUCACUAAGGCUAUUGCUAUGACGUCCCAGGUGCCAUUAUCAUCGACGUCAUCAGUGUCGGUUCAAUUUCUCAAUGCACGACGACCUCACCGGCGCUGCUGUGAUUCGGAGCCUUCUGUUCACAAUUCCUCGUCAUCCAGAGUCGAGGAUGGGGGCUCCCCACCAGGUAGUUUUUUUUUUCUAAUUCUCACUACGUUGUAUUUUUUUUUCAUUUUAAAACUACUAUUUUUAUGAUUAUGAAAAUUUGCUGGAUUAUGAAAAUGUGUUGCGGGUUGUAAAUUACUGUUAUUUUACUUUUUUAAGGUUUUGGGAAAUGAUAUACUAUGAGGGGAGGUUUUGUAGAAUUUUUUGUAGAAAUUUAAGCUUAGGGUUUUCACCAUAGUUUUUUUGGGCAGCUAAAAAAAAUACCAGGGGGCCUAAUCGAAUGCUGAAGGCGGCACAGAUGGUACGUCUGUCCGCCUCCUUGAUCGAGAUUGCAUAUGACUCGCGACAUCGUGGAGCGGCUACCUCACAGCAGCAUAGUAUCGUCGUUACUAGCUGUGGUUAUGUUAUUAAAAAUUGUUGUCCUAUGUAGUGGGAAUCUUGGGCAGAAAUUCCCGAGGAGAUGAAGAUACUGGUGCGAGACAAGUUGUCGGUUAGUAUAUUAAUUUUUAGCCUUUUAUCAUUUUUUUUCAAUUAUGUUUACAAAUAUUAUAAACCAAAGCAUACUAUCUUAAUAUUAUUAAAUUUCUUACUAUUAUUUUUUGUUUUUCAUAUUUGUAGGUCAAUUUUGAUUUUAAGGACAUAUCCCCCGAGGUCAUCACCUACUUAGAUGAGACCUUCGCAAACCGGUACAAAAAUUGGAAGAGCGAUCUUCAUGUGCAUUUUAAGAAAUGGGGUGAUCUCGAGACUGCUUGCCUAGAGGGUUGCCCAUCCGAGUUGGCGGACCGGCGAGAGGAUUGGGAGUGGCUCUGCAAUCAUUUUACGGACCCAAAAUUUGUGGUAUGUACAUAAUAUUUUAAUAAUAAUUCAUUAAUGUUUUAGUUAUUUUUUAAGCAUUUUAAAAUAAUUGCUUUCACAUCGUCGCACUAACAUCUAUAUUAUGUGUUUCACAGAAGAAAUCUAUUGCUGACAAGAUUGCUCGGGAGUCAAAGACACUUCUCCACCAUUCCGGUUCGAAGCCUUUUUCGUAUAGGCUUGAGGCACGACGUGAGGUAAAAGUAUAUUACUUUUGAAAUUUUAUACAAUUUAUUUUUUAUUAUUGAUUAAUAAAAUUUUCUUAAUGUUUUUUUCCUUCAGGAGGGUUCUAAGUUCCCAGAGAUCGACUUGUUCAAGGACGUUUACGUUUAACCUGACGAUGAGACCAGUGAGCAGCUUUAUGUAAUUAUAUGUAAUUGUUAUUAUUCUUAUAUUUAUGAAUCGGUGAAAUAUUAUUUAUAUUUUGUUAUUAGUCAUUAUAUGUUUUUUCUUUAUUACUACAGGCUUCUAUGGUGGAAAAGCGCGCUGUUGUUCUCCAAGAAGCAACAUCGCAACUUCCCCCGGAUACAUCGAUUGAGGACGUUACUGUACCCGAGGAUGCAGGUUUUGAGAUCAUGACUGAGGUCCUAAAUCAGAAGUUCGGUCGUCGUCAUGGCAAAGUUGUUCGGGGCAUGGGGAAGGUGCGUGUUCGUGAAACGGGUGCCUCCUCUUCCAGAUCGACCACAGGAGAGGUCGAUGCUUUGAAGGAGAAAGUGACAACCCUAGAAGGUCAGCUUGUAGCCCAGGACGAGCAGAUAAAGGCCCAGAAUGAGCAGAUGAGGGUUCAGAACGAGCAGCUGAGGGCCGAGAACGAGCAGAUGAAGGCCUAGGUUAGGACCCAGGAUGAUCAGAUGAGUAUGAUUCUACAGGCCUUAGCGAUGUCCGGUCUUCAAAUCCAGAUGCCAUCACCUGAUCUUGCUCCACCUUCGACUUCCCAGCCACUUCGUCCAGCUGAUACCUAGUAGUUUGACGUAUCAAACCUAGAAGACUACUUAUUGUAGUUUUUUCUUUUUUUGUUCGGACAUCUUGUAUGUACAUUUUCAUAUAGUUUAUAAUUAAAUACUUUUUAUUGGUUUAUUAUUUAUUUUUUAGAAUUGAAUUACAAUAUUUAUUAAAAAUUAAAUCAAAACUUUUUUUGUUCCAAAAAAAAAAAAAAGUUUGCGUGACGAAGAAGUUGCAUAGGUCACGCAAAGUGUCUUUGCGUGGCGCACAAUCCUACAUCGCGCAAUUUUUUUGUCCCAAAAAAAAAAUAGUUUGCGUGAUGAAGAAGUUGCAUAGGUCACGCCAAGUGUUUUUGCGUGACGCACAAUCCUACGUCGUGCAAUUUUUUUGUCCAAAAAAAAAAGUUUGCCUGACGAAAAAGUUGCAUAGGUCACGCAAAGUGUCUUUGCGUGACGCACAAUCCUACGUCGCGCACUUUUUUUGUCCAAAAAAAAAGUUUGCGUGACGAAGAAGUGUAAUGGUGCGUUGCACAAAGACACUUUGCGUGACGUAGGAUUGUGUGUCACGCAAAGACACUUUGCGCGAUGUAGGGUUGCACGUCGCGCAAAGACACUUUGCGCGACACAUGCAACUUCUUCGUCACGCAAACCCUGCUUUCACAGGCUUGGCGCGACGCUUGGUGCGUGACGAAGGACCAACGUCGCGCAAAGCAUUUUUUGUACUAGUGUUUUAUAGUGAUUACAAGAAGUAUUUGGAUGAAGAACAAACCCUUCAAACCAAGGAAAAGUAUUUGGAUGAAGAACAAACUCUUCAAACCAAGGAUAAUUUACAUAUAAUACAAAUGAUACAUAACCUAUUUAAAUUCAAAAUACUUUCAACAGAUAAGGCUUAUUUCAGCCUUCCUUUUGACUAAUCUGGUUUCGAUCUUCAGUGAUUAUUGUGGCGGGAACCUUUGAAUUCGAACUUGGUUUAUCACACUCCCGCAAGCUGAGCGGUCACUGGUGAACGGGAAGCUUGGACAAAAGAUAGUUGAAACGAUAAGUAGAUAGGCCUUUAGUAAAAAAAUCGGCAACCUGAUCUUGGGUAGCGACAUAGCCCACCUGAAGUUCACCACGAGUAACCUUCUCACGAAUAUAAUGAUAGUCAACUUCUACAUGAUGUGUCCGUGCAUAGAAGACUGGAUUGGAGGCCAUGGAAAUAUCAUAAAUAUUGUCACACCAAACCUUUGGGGGAGAAAGUCGUAGAUGAAGAUCAUUGAAUAUCUUUCGAAACCAUGAAAUUGUGGCGGCUGUAAUUGCAAGUUGACGAUAUUCAGACUCUGCUGGAACUGGAGACUCCUCUUUGUUUCUUGGAACUCCAGGAUACAAGAUUAGAACCAAGGAAAAUGCAAUAGCCGUCUGUAGAGAUGCGGUCAUCGGGAUCUCCCGCAUAAUCUGAAUCUGCAAAGGUCGAAAUGGUUAGAGGUCCAGGUUUAUAAACACGGCCAUGGUUGGGUGUGGAUUUCAAAUAAUGAAGAAUUCAUUUGACUGCAAUCUAGUGUGUAGUGGUAGGUUUGUGCAUGAACUGGCAAACUUGAUUAACGGAAAACGCAAUAUCCGGACGUGUAAACGUGAGAUAAUGAAGAGCACCGACCACACUUCGAAACUCAGUAAUGUCUGAUAGUGUUCGCCGUCGUAGAGACUAAGUCGUUUGCCACUGAUUGCCGGGGUAGAAACUGGUUUGCAAUCAACCAUAUUAUUACGUUUAAGAAGAUCUAUGAUGUACUUGGACUGAGAUAAAUGCAUUCCAUUGGCAGACUGAUGAACCUCCAUGCCUAAAAAGUAAUUCAAAGGCCCAAGAUCCUUCAUGGAGAAAACGAUGCCUAUAUCCCGUAUUAAAGUAUUAAUACAUUGAGUAUUGCCUGUAAUGAGAAUAUAGUCAAUGUAGAUGAGUAAGUAGAUUCGAACCGAACCAUGGCAGUAAACAAAAAGAGAGGAAUCUGCCUGAGAAGCUACAAAGCCAAGAUGUUCCAAGUGGUUGGAAAAACAUUGAAACCGCGCCCUUGGGGCUUGCUUAAGACCAUAGAGAGAUUGUUUGAGUUUACAAACAUGUGUUGGAAAUUGAGAAUCAACAAAACCUAUGGGUUGUUUCAUAUAGACCUCAUCAGACAGAGAACCAUGAAGAAAAGCAUUUUGUACGUCCAGUUGUCGAUUGGGCCAAGCAAACUGCACAGCCAGGGCAAUGAUAAGACGGAUAGUGGAAUGAGUAACCAAGGGACUGAAUGUCUCCCCAUAAUCUAGAUCAGGUUGUUGAUGAGAACCAUUUGCAACCAGUCGAGCUUUGAACCGGUUAACAGAGCCGUCCGGUUUCCGUUUGAUUUUGAAAACCCAUUUGUUGGGGAGAACAUUCAUGGAAGGAUGGUAGGGAACCAAUGAUCAGGUGCCAGCACGUUAAAGAGCAUUGAACUCAUCAGCGAUUGCAAUUCUUCAUUCUUGAAAUUUUUGAGCCUGACUGUAACAGGUGGGCUCAGUCAAAACGUUAGUGGUAGAGAUAUGGGCAUACUUAGCGUUAGGUUUAUGGAUGGAACAAGGAUUGUCUGCCCUCCUACUUCCGGUGCCUUCCUGUUUGUGUGAUCACGAUUAAGUCACGUCAACAUUUUAUAUUACUAUUCAUUUUUGUCUUAUUAUCUCUAUAAAAAAACAAUAUAAAAUAUUGACGUGGCUUAAUUGUGACCACACAAAAUAGGAGGGCAUGAAAGAGCACUGAAAGUAGGAGGGCAGAGAAUCCUUGUCCUUAUCGAUGCCAUCUUUGGCACGAGUUAUCAUGGGGUGAAGUAAGGUUGGUUCUGAAGGUGGCAGGGGUAUGGCGUUGGAUAGACUAGAGGAGUCGAAAACUGAUGUGGGGCAGGUUGGUGUUGAAAAUAGUUCUGAAGGUGGCAGGGUAAGGGAAGUAGGGGUUAAGGCAUGGGAUAGGGUAGGUGAGGAUGGACAUAAAGGUACUGUAUGAGAAGAAAGUGAAUAAGAAGAAGAAGAAGUGUGUGGUUGUGGAUGUGAUAUGAGAGAAAGAGACAGUUGUUGGUGGGGUAGGGUAGGGGCCGAAGUUAAUGGGAUUCAUAUGGGAAAAAAUAAGGACAAGGUUUAUCUGCCCUUCACUUUCGAUGCCCUUGCCAUGCUCUCCUAUUUUAUAUGAUCAUGGUUAAGCCACGUCAAUAUUUUAUAUUGUUUUUUUUAUAGAUAUAAUAAGACAAAAAUGAAUAGUAAUAUAAAAUGUUGACGUGGCUUGACCAUGAUCACACAAAUAGAAGAGCACGGGGAGGGCACCGAAAGUGGAGGGCAGACAAUCCUUGUCCAAAAAAUAAUUCAGAAGAAGUACUAUCAGGUAUUAGAUAUGCAGGAGGAGCAGCACUGGACAAUUCUCGAAAUGGGAAACAAUGUUCAUAAAAAAAGAGGCGGAUUGUCUGACCUCUCAUUUCCAUACUCUUUCUAUGCCCUCCUGUGAUGUGUGGUCACGGUUAAGCCACGCUACGUCAACAUUUUAUAUUAAUUUUUUUAUAAAAAUAAUAAAACAAAAAGUAAUAUAAAUAUAAAAUGUUGACAUAACUUAACUGUAACCACACAAACAGGAGGGGAUGAGAAGAGUAUGAAAAUGAGAGGGUAGACAAUCCACCUCCCAUAAAAAAUGACAUGCUUAGACAUAAAGACACGACCUAUUGACGGAUCAAGAUACCUAUACCUAAGUUGAUGGAGUGAAUAUCCUAAAAAAAUACAUUUUUGGAACGAAAUUCAAGCUUAUUAGACAUGUAUGGACGUAAAUAUGGAAAACAUGCAUAUCCAAAAACUUUGAAAAAUUCAUACGAUGGUUCCCGUUGGAAUAAUUUUGUGUAUGGAGAAAUGAGAUUGAGAACUUUGGUUGGCAGGCAAUUAAUGAGAAAAUUAGGUGUAUGAAAAGCCUCAACCCAAUAAUUUUGAGUCAUGGAUGCACGGGCAAGGGGAGUGAGUCCAGUUUCAACCAAAUGACGGUGUUUGCGUUCGGCCAUACCAUUUUGUUCAGGAUGGUGAGGACAAGUGUAUUGAUGAUGAAUGCCAUGUUUUUCCAACUAAGUUUUGAAAAGAUUAUUGAUAUAUUCACCUUCUCCAUCUGUUUGAAAAGUUUGAAUUUUACGUUGAAAUUUAUUCUCCAUUUCAGUUUUAAAUUUUACAAAAGUGGGAAACACAUUAGAUUUUAAUUUUAAAGGAUAUAACCAAGUAUAUUGGGAAUAAUCAUCAAUAAAAAUAACAUAAUAAAAAAAUCUUGAAAUUGACAAAGUUGGUGAUGCCCAUACAUCGGAAUGAAUGAGUUGUAAAGGAAAAUGUGAUAUAGAAUUAGAUAAAGGGAACGACAAUUUUUUACUUUUGCCUAGAGGGCAUGAAUGACAUAUAGAAUUGAAAGACUGCCUCGUAAGAGGCAGUUUACUAGUGGACACUAAAUGCUUUAAAAUAAAAGAUGAUGGAUGACCAAGUCUGGAAUGCCAGACACAAUCAUCAACUUUGACUCCCAUGCAUGCAAAGAAUCCAUGGCUUUUAUUGGAAUUGAAACUUGCAUAUGGAUAUAGUCCAGUGCUACUCCGGCCUGAUAAAAGGAUCUCCCCGUUCGGAUAUCCUGAACACGAAAGAAAUGUGGGUGAAGGACAAAAAAACAAUCAUUAUCAGAAGAAAAUUGAUUGAUAGAUAUGAUAUUUUGAGAAGCAUUGGGACAAUAUAAGGUAUUAGAGAGAGUGAAAGAUUUAGUGGGAGAGUAGAUGUAGGAUGUUCCUAUGUGAGAAAUGUUCAAACCUUGACCACCAUUUAUGCCAUUGACGUGAUCUGAGCCGGUAUACAUCUGUGCAUUUGUGAGUUGGCCAGGAUCAUUGGUUAUGUGGGCAUUAGCACCGGAAUCGAGCAACCAAGUGGUUGGAGCAGUGGGUGUUGAGACGCCACUAGGAGUUUGAGCAGCAAGAGCCGUGAGGUGAGCACUGGGAACAUGACCUUCAUAGGCAGUGUUCAUGCGAUUAUAACAAUCUAUGGUAGAAUGGCCAUUGUGACGACAUAUUUGGCAUCGUAGGAGAGGCGAUCACCAGAAGGAGGACCUGCACCUAGGACUUCGAAAUGACUGAGAAGAAACUACACUACUGCCAGUAGGGCGAGAAAAAACCCCAGCGUGGCCACCACUACGGGAACCACCAAUGCGUCCACUACCGCGUCCACGGUUAGCAGCCAUCGCAGUCAUGGGAGCAAAGAGAGUGUCUCCGGUCAAAGUAAAGGUGAGAUGACGUCUCUCAGCACUAAGGAGCAGUGCUUUCAACGCUGCAUAAGAAAUGGGAGACUCAUAGGCUUGGAUGGAUGCCACAGUAUUCUCGUACAAGGGUGCAACGUUGUUCAAGAUUGUAGCAAUCAAAUCAUUAUCAGACAUGGAAGCACCAGACAAAGCUAAUUGAUCAGCCAAAUUAUUAAUUUUAUCCAAAAAAUCAGCGAUGCUAAGAUCACCGGGACGAAGGUUGAGGAGUUCUCCACGUAGUUGAAUGACUCGAUUAUGAGAGGAAGGUGCAUACCGUUCUUGCAAGGCUGUCUAAGCUUCGGCAGCACUAACACACCGGACAAAGACAUGUAUGACAGGAGGAGAGAGGGAACUGGUGAUCCAGAAAGCACCAUCUGAUCAUGUUGAAUCCAUGGUUCAAAAAGAGGAUUGAUGGCAUCAGUAAUUUGACUAGCAUCAUUUGACAAAAAUGCCGGGGGACAUUUGGAUGUGCCGUCAAUAAGGGGCAGGAGACUUCGACUGCGAAGUAAAGGGACAAACUGUGCUCACCACAAAGGGUAAUUGUGACAAUCAAGUUUUAAGGGUAGGAAGGCAGAAACAUUGGUGAGAGGAGUGGCAGCGGAAGAGGCCAUGAGGAUUGAGAAGGAAGAAUUGUCGGCAGACAUUGGGAAUGAUGAUACCAUAUAAGAAAAGUGCUCGAUGAUAUGAGCGUAUUCCAUUUGAUGUUUUUAUAGUGAUUACAAGAAGUAUUUGGAUGAAGAACAAACUCUUCAAACCAAGGAUAAUUUACAGAUAAUACAAAUGAUAAAUAACCUAUUUAAAUUCAAAAUACUUUCAACAGAUAAGGCUUAUCUCAGCCUUCAUUUUGACUAAUCUGGUUUUGAUCUUUAGUGAGUGUUGUGGCGGGAACCUUUGAAUUCGGAUUGGGUUUAUCACCAUAUAUGUUAAAAGCUCACACAUUAUCAGAAAAUAGGGUUAUCCUACGAAACCUUGCCCGAUGGAAAAAAAUUCAUCAGCUAAUAAACAUUUUAUUUGAGGAAAUAACCAGUUUGUAGGGCAAAUUUGGUCAAUAUUAUGGGUUUACUCAAAAUUUUUUGGAGACAAAACGUCGUAGGGCAAGAUUUUGGCGCCAAGGAAAAAAUUUGGCUCACAAUUCGUUAAGGAUUGUGGGACGGAACAUUGGUUAGUCGGCUAAGUUCAGUUUGCCGGAUGGACAGUUCCUUCAACUAACGGUUUCAAUUCAUCUAGUAAAGGACCACACUAAAGUGUUAAAAAACGAGUAAAACAUGUUUGCUCGACGACUGAGCGACGGUGCCCGUAGAGGAUUUUCGUCAGGCAAACCCUACUUUACCAUUUAGGUCCGUGCCUUCUUCUUUCUCUCCAUUUUCUUUUCUCUGCUUCCCCCCUCCGCGACUGUUGCUUCUCCGUGCAUCUCUCUAUCUCUCUCUUACCCACAAACACACACUCUCUUCUCCAUCUCUUCCUCUCCCAAUUAAUUGAAGAUUAGUUUAUUUUUAUUUGUUGAUGAAUUUUUUUCUUCAAAUGUGUAAUUAAUUAAUUUUGAUUUAUGUAGGUUUGUGACUGGAUUGGAAGUAAAUUAAAGGAAUGUAUGUAUUUGUCUUAAUUAUAUAUAGUAACCUUGAAUUUAUUUAAUUGUAAAUUAAAGGAAAUGUAUGACUCCUUGAUUUAUUUAAUUAUGAUAUUUAUAUAUGUUGAAAUUUUGUAUGAUGUGAAAUUUUGAGUUUGUGUUAUUGAAAUACAUGUAGAUUAGGUGAAUUUAAUUUGUGCAGCAUUAGUGUAAGAAUUCGUAGUGUGAAAUUUGUUAAAAUUUCAUAGCCAUUUAUAUAUAUGAAGUUAAUUAUGUUGAUUAAAUUCGUAUAAUAAAUUUGAAAAAACCUUAGACCCGUUUGAGAUUCUAUUGGACGCAUGUGUAGAAGCAGUAUGCCGCUUCGCGAUCUAACUGAAUCAUGAAUUGUCCAGUUCAUGAGUGCACUAGUAUGUGUUUAUGGUUUGCAAUGAACUUGGCUAAGUUCCGUUCGUGGAAAAUUCCGUUGUAUCCCCCUAAUGUUCUUUGAGUGCAUCCUAGAUAUUUAUCUAAUAUCUACGUUGUGCACUUGAGGAACCCUGGGAAGAUGCUGCCAAAUGUUUUACGAUUAGAAAUAGUUGCGUGCCUGGCAAACCGCUAGAUAGAAAGUGCAUUUUCGAAUGAGAUAGGAUCAUUACCGGAGGCAUAAGGGGGUGAUGAAGUGUGUUUUAAAUCAUUAUGAUGAGUAAAUUCUCUGAAUACAGGUGCAAUGGACAAGGAGUUGAUCAAGUUGCAAGAUAGAAGUUGGACCAAUAUGUGGAUGGGAUCGACAAUUUUAUUCAAUUUGCAGGCAACCAUAUCAGUGCUUAGAAUCGUAUUAGGUGUCCUUGCAUGAAACAUAAUAAUUGUGUUUGGAUGGCAUUGGACAAAGAUCGAUAUCACUUGUAUUCGAAAGGGAUGGUACACGGUUAUUCCAAUUGGACUUAUCAUGCAAAAUCACCCAUUACAGUGUCAACGUCUUCCGGUAGUGGGGACAUUUUGGCAUGCGCCCUCUACAUAUAGCCAUGGUGAUGACAACCAAGUGAUGGAGAUAUUGAAUUAUGCUUUCCCUAAUGCUUGCUUAAUAUGGACAAAGAGCUAUCCACAAAUCCCGAGAAGUACGAUAAAUUGUUAAAGGAAGCUAAGCGAGAAUUGUACUUGGUUGUGAAGAUUUUUCUAUCCUAACAACAUUGUAGAGUUGAUGCACUUGAAAAUAUAGUACAAUAUGACCAAUUGAAACUACGAUAUGAUGAUGGGGAUUUUUAAAUGUAUGCUUUUGAAACCAAAUGGUCCAAGAAUAAUUUCAUCAAAAGCGCUUUCAGUUAUUUAAAAAACACUUUCAAACACAUUAUAUAUCAAAUGCUCUAUUUUAAUUCACAUAUAUAUUGGUCCUAGUAAUCAAUGGGAAGAAAAUCACCCCGUUAGGGUUGUAGUCACCAAUUGUCCUUACCCUCCCUCCACUGUUAAAUACCUUAACAAUGUAAUCUAUCAUAUGUGGAGCCUAAAAUUAUCCCAAAAAUCCUAGAGGCGACACGUGGACUUUUGCUAAAGAAAUAUAAGAUUGCCCUCAUUUAAUGGGCAGGCUUCUCAGAUUCUCCCACGCACAGCUCAGCACCCUUAAAGGUCUAAGUAGCUGAAUACAAUUGCCCCAGCUCACCUGCCCUUGGCAAGGAAAAGUCAAAGCAUUAAAGAUAAGGAUUAAUUACCCAAAUCCUAUUUUUAAUACAUUCCCAAUUGAAGAUUGACUUAAUUCAAGAUCUUUUUUCCUAUUUAACAUCUUGAGAAUAUUUCUCCAUAAACCUUGGCCAAUAGGAUGCUGCCAUGUGUAAGGUAAAACCCUAACACCAUGGCCGGCCACUCCCCUAUAAAUGUUGGAAGUAUGCCCACAAAGCCACUCAUUUGAUGUAAUAGCUUUUUGGAAUACUUAUUGUAUUAAACUUUUAUAUGUUUAAUGAAGGGCAAAUCUUAUUGUUAAUCACUAUUUAUUGUAUCAUGUGUUUAAGCAAUAAGGGAAUCCAAGGAAUGUAUUUGUUCUAAGAGAUAAGUGAUCUAAUGAGUUAGAUUAUCGAGACCUUUCUCUUAUGUUCAUUCCUAAAACGUUCCUAGCCAUAGGAUUGCUAAUUGGGCAUUGACAAUCCGCUAAGGCUAGUAUGUGUUAUGUUGACUCAAUCGUGAGUAUAACUAGUCUCAAGUCAUUUGGUGUUGGACACUAAGACAAACACAUAGGUGCUCGAAAGAGUACUCGAGUUCACUGAACGACGAUCAAAAGAGAGUUCGAACAUACAUGUCAUGUAUGAACUCUAAGGUUGCAAUAUGCAAAGUAGUCCUUUGACCUGAGGCAUCAUCGAUGUCUAAUGAUUAGGUCCUUGAUCUUUGAUCCUGUCAACGGCAUUCCUUUGGAGUGUCCACGGCAUUGUUGGGGUCAAGCUAUCUAGUCAUGUAGGCAUAUGAAUGCACAACAAGGGAUCUCUAACCUUCCAUGGUGGAGGGAGAAUACUCUAAGAUAUGAUUCUAAAGUCUUUGGCCAAAGCAAAUGAAUAUGACUUAGGAAGUUUGUUCCAAAUCAUAUUCAAGGGAAUCAUAUAGGAAAGUAUCACAUUGGAUAGUGGACAUGAAACAAACUAUCACUUAAACAAUGUGAUUAAGAGUAUUGUAUUAGAGAAGGACCGUAUUGCAUUGUAGUUGUAACUGGAUAGGUUCUCCAACCAAUUCUACUUAGCUUGGGUAAUCAUGAUAUGCUGCUAGGCGUCACUCAUGGUUUGUGGAAGCCCUAAUGGUUAGCAAACACUAAUCAACAAAAAGGGAGAAUUGAAAUGUGGUUUCAAUUCACAAUCGAUCGUUAAGAGUAACAUCGCCCACUGCCUCGCUAAAUAGAACCUAAUGGAUCGUACACCGAGUAAGGAUGUAUGUGAAGAAAUUAAAUGAGAUGGAUAAGCAAUUAAAUGGUUUAAUUGAAGAAUGGUCAAGAUUAAUUAAUUAGUUAAUUAAUUAUACGAAAGGUUCGUAUUGGGCUUAUAUGUUGGUUUUGGGUUUCGGGGCCCAAAAGCGUUUUGGUCCACAAGGCCCAUUAUGUUUAAGAUGUAUGACAACUAAAACAAAAUGGGCAAAUUAGCCCAAUAACAAAGGAUGGCCGGCCAUUAGGGUGGAUGGGCAAAGUUUGCUUAAUUACAAGUUUGCCACUCACCAAAGAAAAGGUUAUAAAUACAACUUUAUAGCUAUUUUCUAAUAAGGGUUCUUCUUGUUGAAAUUGGGUGAAACAUUUUCUCCAUUUUCUUCUAAGGAGGCCGGCCACUAAGGGGAGGGACAUCUAGCAAUCUCUUAUUUCCUUAGUCAUCCAUAUCAUCUUCACAAGAUACAUCCUUGGUGAAGAGACUUAGAGACAUCAAGCUUUUGGUGUUUUGGAGAACAAAUCCUUUUUCCUCAAAUCAUCAAAGGAGCACUAAAGGGAGGAAAACACAAGGAGGAUUCAAGGAGCUUGGAGGUGACUUGAAGGCCCUCCACUUGGGUGAAUCCCUUGUGUAAUCAAGGAUGAGCUUCAAGGGUAAAGAAUCACUAAAUCUUUACUUUUCUUUAAUGUUGUUAAAGAGUUUAUUUUGGUUCACCAUAUACUAGGCUUUGAAAGUCAUGGGUUUUAUGAAUUGUUUUUGAAUGCAUGCCUACUUUAAAGUGUUAAUAGCUUGCAUGUGUAUUCAAAUGUUCAUACUUGUUCUUAGCUAGGACAGAAUUUUUCCUUCAAUAAAUACCUCAAUCUCUACCAAAUUUUGGUAAACUUUUACAACCCUAAAAAAACCCUAAACAUUUACUUUUUCUUUUAAGGGAAAUUAACUUAGGCAUCAGAGAUCUAUUGGCCUAACCCCCCCCCCAACCUCAUGGGUGUGUAAGGCUUAGGUCCUUGAUCAAAGGUGUUGAUUGUUUUGCAGGUGCAUUUUCGUCAAAGCUAGAGACGGCCGAAAUUUGCAUUGACAAAUUGGUGCUUUCAUUGAGAGCUGAUUCAAAUACUCGAAGAAGCCUCUCCCACUUGGUUUCUUGAGUUUUCUGUUACGUUGAAUUUCUCACACAUCAUAUCAAUUAAAUUCCUAGAAAAUUUUCUUGAUCAAUUCUUGGAGAAAGGAUUCAAUGGUAGGAAAUUCAGAAACCACGACGAACAGAACCCCGUACGUACAAGGAUUUGGACUGGAGAGUAGAGAUGAGGAUGUAGCCCCAAGAGGGCGAUCCUCAAGGCUCAAUGCAAAGGCGAGAGAAGCCUCACCACUGUGGAGUUGCACCAUCACCGCUGCUGCAGCCCAACAACCACAACAAAGCUACCAAGCCACGACUUAAAUUCUUACACCAGUGCCCUUGCAGUGCACAGACCACCAAAACCCUGGGCAAGAGGCCUAGGUUCAUUCACUAGCCCAUAGGCAGGAGACCCAGGUCUAUAGAGAAGCAACUCAAGCCGCCACGACCCAAACUUAAGCAAGAGAGAUGACGCCUUACACUUUCUUCUUUCUUCUCUACAUAAUAGUAGGCCCGAGCCUGCCUCGUCAUACUUGGCCCGCACCAAGCCCAAAUCUAAAAGGGCUAGAGCCUCAUAGCUUGCCCAGCUUUGCGCUUAGUGUGCCAUUCACCUCGCCCACUCAUAAUUACCAUUGCUUAAGACAUCAAACAACCUAUGGCGAGACCUCAGUUUCUUUACACCAUUUGACAUGCUUGACUGGCCCAUGUUAGAUUCAGGCCCUCAGAAGGAGCUUGAGCCCAGUGGUUUGCUCCGUAUUACGCCUCAUCGCCUUAAAUCGCAUUCCCAGCUACGCAGUUACCUUUGGCUCUAACCGAGCCAAGUAGCCAAGUUGUGGCCCCUACUACGCCACCUCCUCAGCCCACGCUGAGCCGACUCCUGGCCCUUGCUAGCUGACGUGCUGUACUACCCUGACUGUUGCCCUGUGGCAGCACCACCUAAGAAAACAAACAAAAUUACCUUUUUCUUACCUUGGUGUGCGCAUAGAAGAAGAACAACAACGAGAAAUGACUCUUUGCAUGGGCAAGAGAAGAAGAGAGCUAGGGGAGGGGGAACAAAUUUCCUCUAGUUUCUCUCUUCCUUGUUGGAAUGAAGAUUGUUCUCCAAAAUUAUUUAUUCCCUUGUUUAAGGCAGAAUUAGGUAUUAGGGGCAAUUAGUUUCCUUUAUCUAGAAGAGUUUAUCUCCAAGUCAAAGUAGGAGAUCUACAUCAAAUUGGGAAACAACUCUACACACCCAGGCAAAUUAGGACUUCUACAUGUACUGUCAUUUUCCUACAUGCAGCCGAACAUGUGUGGGGGCAUUUGUGGAGCCUAAAAUAAUCCCAAAAAUCCUAGAGGCGACACGUGGACUUUUUCUCAAGAAAGAUAAGAUUGCCCUCAUUAAAUGGGUAGGCUUAUCAGAUUCUAACACACCCAGCUCAGCACCCCUGAAAGUCCAAAUAGCUGAAUAUGACUGCCCCAGCUCACCUGCCCUUGGCAAAGAAAAGUCAAAGCAUUAAAGAUAAAGAUUAAUUACUCAAAUCCUAUCUUUAAUACAUUCCCAAUUGACACUAUAAGAAAACAUGGAUUAAGUGACCCAAUUUUUUGUGGCGCGUGAAAAUUCAUCACAUAUAGGUAAAACAAGUGACGCUUUUUUAAAAAUCGUCACUUUAAGAUUUUUGUAGGACACCAAAUAUUUUGUGUCACUUAUACUUUUGGAUUCACCACAAAAAAGUGGGUGGGAAAGUUUACCGCCAAAUGAAAUUUUAAUAUGUAACACAUUGUUAACUUCAUAACAUAAGAAGAGGGAAGGCCACCUGGCCAUUCCUCACAUAUAGUAUUAAAUUAAAAAUAAAAAAUAAAAAAUAUUGAUGCAAUUAUCAAAACCCCCAAAUAACAAAACCUAUCCAUUUAUUCUCAUUUCUUCCUAGUCUUCAGCACCCGUUCGUUUACUCCUUCACCUUGACUUUGACGACCAGCUACUUGGUGGUUACAGCGAUGGCGACUAACACCUCUCCUUUGUCUCCCUCCUUCAACCAUUCUCCCACCCUUUGAUUCUCGUUCACUAACUCUCUUAUCUUUCUGACAUAACAAGAUCAAAUUGGAGAAAGAGAAGUUCGAUUUUUUUCUCAAGUUCUUUCAGUUGACAAUAAGGUACUUUGUUUCUCUAUAUUUCUUUAAUUGUUUUUGGAUUUUUUUUCCUUAAUUGUUCCCCAGAUUCUGAUUUUCUUUUGCUAAAGAUCCUGUUGCUGGUGAAUUGUUCUCUGCGUUAUAUAGGCAGUGAGUUUUCUAUUCCAGUCUUGAUUCUUCUUUACUCUUUGGAGUCAAAUUCUGGUCUUGGUGGUUAAUAUAUGUUUUUAUAUUUUUUCUUAGUCCCCUGACUAAGUGUUAUCUUUUUGUUUUUUAUUUUUGUUCAAAUGUUGGAAGUCUGUAACCAUUAAGCUGCGUAUUGUCUUUCUUGAGAGAGGUGUUGUCAAGAGUCAAGACUAGGUUCGCCUUGAAAUUUUUUGGGUCGGGCCAAUAGUGAUCUUAGUGCCGUUUCUUACUAGCUACUUGCAUUGGGAAUUCUUUAGAUGUGUACUUUCUUGUGUUUUGGCUGGCUGAAAAUGGGUGAUGGUAGGAGAUUUGGUAGCAUAUAAAUAUAAGAAAUGAUUAAAACUACUUACAUCCCUCAAGUAGAGUUCCGCAAAUCACUCGUAGCAUUCUCUCGAGUGAGUCCUAGACUUUUAUAGACUAGGAAAAUAUAGUUUGACUAGGACAAUACAUGAAAAUCCUAGAAUUUAAAAGACUAAAGUUUGUUUCAAAACAUGAAUUAUCAAUAUUAUGUCCUUUGGAGUGAUCCUAAAAUACUUGAUUAUGUUUGUAAACCUGUUUAUAGAAAUAUAUGUAGAAGUAUUGAUAUCAGCGAAAGUUCUUAAUUUCUAAAUAGAUUUGAAUUGCUUUUAUGUCUUUGUUGUGGUAUAUGCCCUCUGCUUCUGAUAUGCUUAUCUGAACUGCUUUUGCUGCACAAGAAUAGGUUCACACGGUGUUUCCGCGUCUCUUUGAGCCCAGAUGCCCAUAAAGCCAUAUGAUUGAAAAUAGCUUUUUCAUCAUGUAGGAGUAUGCAUCUUAAUUUUCACCGACCAAAGAAAUCCUAGCACGAUUUUACUUUCUUUGUUAAGUUAUCACACAAAUACGCAUAUUUUUAAUUAGUUAGCUAUUUAUACGAACAAAACUGAAACCAUAUGUUACAAAUUGUCUAAUAUACACUAACCUAAUAGUUUCCAAUUUUCUUGCCUCCAAGUGAAUUUCUUUAUGAGGUUUUUUAUUUUUUAUUUUAUUUUAAUUUUUCAAUUGAUAAUAGAUUGGGAGUUAAUGAGGAACUUUUUUAGCAUGGGAAAUGUCAAAGCAUUAGUUUUGACAAUUAGAUUGUUACAGACACUUCUAUGUAAAAAAAGUUGAAAACUUUUCCUUCAAAAUUUCAAAACAUAAACUAGAAGGAAGAGAAACAUCCAUGCUUGUAUCUCAUUUCUCACACAACAUUCUAAGAACUCACUGAAGCUAAUAGAACAAAAUACCUUAGCUCAGACCCCCUUGAAGUACUAGAAACUAGAGACAUGGAGGGCAACCCAAUUUUUCAUUGUGAUUCGGGGAAAAAAGAGUGUUUAUAUGACAUCAAGAGGAAAGGUGGGAAAAUGUGAAUAUGAUAGUUUGAUAUACUAAUGAUGGUGAAGCGGGUGAAGGAAUCCCUUACCUCCUCCUCCAAAUGAUGCAUUUGCACCACCACCACCACCUCCUCCGCCACCUCCUCCACCACCACCUCCACCACCACUUGCACCUCCAUGAGGGAAGAGGGUGAAGCAGGUGAGGGAUCCCUUACCUCCUCAUCUAAAUGAUGCACUUGCACCUCAUCCGCCACCUCCUCCACCAACACCUUCUCCAUCACCACCUGCACCUUUGCCAACAAACACUAACCCAGGUAAGAAAGGUAGUUACAAUUAUUUACUUUUUCCUUAUUAACGUAGUUUUAAACAACACAUCACAUUGAUUAGAGAUACAUAUAUUUUUCUAGAGACAGAUUUUGACAUUUUUGCAAAAAAUUUGACUCGUGGAAAGUCAUGUGGGAAAGGCGUCCAUGAUAUUUCGGAGGCCAAUAACGGGCUAAAGAUGCCAAUCAUCUUUGAUUUUAAACAUCAAGUUCCAAGUGAUCUAGUUGUGUCAGGUUUUUUCACGUUCGAGAUAAGGAAUAUUGUUUGAACUUAUUCACCGGUUUGCUAUGAAAGAUGGUUUAAGGUCCCAGCUUCAGAAAAGAAGAAACUAUGAGAGAAGUUUCUUGUGAGUUUGAAUUUAAUUCAAUUUAUUCAUUGUAAUUUCAAGCACUCACUUGCAUAUAUUUGUGUUUAACAAUAGGUAUUAUUUGUUGUGGACAUAUCCCAUCCAAAGAUUAUUGAAUAUGUUGACAAGAAGAUGGCAAAGUUGCACUCUCAGUUUAGGCACUGGUUGCAUCUGCACUACUUGUCAUGUGGAACACCUGGGAGAGGACGAGCUAAGCUUCCAAAUGAUAUGAUAUGGAAUGGGAGGCCAAAGAGUCAUUGAGAUUGGUUAUGUGAUAAUGUUUACUCUACUACACUCUUUUUGGUAUGUAUUCUAUAUAAUCUUUUGUAGUAUAAAUCCAAGUUAGAGACCAAUUCUUUCAAAAUGAAGACUUUUUGUUGUGUUCUACAAAUUCAGUUUUUAUAGUCAGAACCUCUAACCUUUUAUGCUUCAUUUUCAUUUUGGUUGUCAUCUGCUUAAUUUUCCAAUGUAAAAUUUCUACAUCUUGGCUUAGUUACUUUUUGUUUCGUAUUUUCCCUUUAUUUAUUGAGAUUUUCCCUUUCUUGUAAUUGGUGGCUUUAUUCAUCUAAUUUGUUCUUAUGGAACUCAUAUGCUUAGUGUCAUUUUGCAGGCCACUAAUUAGUGUUUCAACUGUUUGUUUUAAAUGAAUUUUGUUUCUUUGACUGUGAUUAAGAUCUCAUGUUGUUUGUCUAGAACAUUUAUAUUGUGUUAGGACAAGAUUUAUGUAUCUUAGCUUACUUGGCUAUACAGCCACUCACUUUUUUACUUGUAAUUGUCAAAUCUGCUCAAACACCUAUUUAAUUAAGUUAAAAUUAGGAAUAUGGCAAUGAUAAUAUAACGUUGUUUUGAUAGCCAGAUUUGAAAUAAAAAUAUCCUAACAUGCAUUAAUGAAUUUCACCUUGUGGUUAAAUUGAUUGUUACUUCUUUACACUUAGGUAAUUUUGAGUUAAAAUUUGAAGUUUGUUGAUUGUUACUUCUUGACACUUUGGUAAUUUGGAGUUAAAAUUUAAAGUUUGAAAAUGAACAUCAUAUACUCAUUUGACUAACUGUGUUAGCCUAAUGCCCUUGGUAGAAGAAAGAGUACCUUCCAUUCAAUUUCCUUAAGCUUGGUGUUUAUAUGUUUCUCUCUCCCUAGCUUGUGCUGUUUCUAACAUUGUUGACCGAGAGAACAUAGAAGGUGAGAUGAGAUAGUCCUCUAAGGUGAAUGAAUACGUAUAACUGAAAUACAUGAUGUUAUAUAUGACAAGUUUAAGAGCUUGGAACUUUCCAAAUUUUACACAUGUAUAGCUAACUAAAUCUUCUUUUGUAUGUCAUCCACCAAAUGUGUAAUGUAGGAGCUUUCAAAGCAAAAUGCUUAUAAUAGGAAGAAACAAAAGUAUCACCAUCGAGGAGGGGCAAUGCCAUUUAUCCAACAUGCUAGGAAGACCCAGAUGGUAAUGAAAUUAAAUUACUUAUUAUAUUCAUUAUGGAAUGUACAUAAUUCUAAUGUAUGUUUCUGCAUUAUUGAGCAGAAAGGAAAUCCAUUAUUUGUGAUUGACAAUUGGGGGUUCUCCAUAAAGUCGGUGGAUAAAUGAUGUUGUUCGGGACAAAUAUGUAAGUCAUUCACGGACUUAUCAUUUAUGUCAUUAUAAGGGAGAUGGAGGUUAAAAAACAAAUCAAAUUUGACAUGAUACAACUUAGGAAACACAAAUAAAGUGAACAUGCAAGAUUGUAUUGAAAAAAAAAAAACUUAAUAAAACUAGCUAGAAGCUGAAAGGUUAUACCUAACAUUCAUUCAAACAGAAACUACUUUAAAGGUUAUAUGUUGUAUGUUGCCUUAUCCUAUGUAAAACACAUUGAAGCAUAAGCUACAAAAUCAUAUGUAAAGACCGUUUAUACCCAAUGGUUUGCUUCUACAUUAGUUCAGGAUCACAUCCAAGUAUUUAAGUGGUGUUUUCUUAAGUAUAUUGUGGCUGAUUUGUUUGAAACAAAAGAAACUUAUUUGUUUGUAUUUUAAUAUGAAAGGAUAACAUGAAGAAAAAGAAGGAUGAAGUUAGGGAGAAGCUAAUCCAAGAAGUGAUAAGCUCAUAUUUAUAUAUAUUUUACAUAAAAUUCACUUGUCUUUUCUUAGUUAGUUCCUUAUAUUUUUGAGCUAUUUACUAUGUUUUUGUGUUUUGUGUGAUUUAUCAAGCAAAGAAAAGAAAAGUAGCACAAGUGAAUUAUUAAGUAACAAAUUCGUCAAAACUGCCUGUGCAGAUUAUCUGACUUUGGAAGCAUGUUACAAACAGUUCAGAAUGAAUGAGAGAAUGAGCCUUAUAUGCGUGGAAAGCUACAGAUGUCUAUUUUCUGGAGCAAUUUAAGGAUUGUUAAUCUCAUUUUUCUAGAAGAAGUUAUGGGCAUUGUAACACUGAAAGGUCAGAAAAGGGCUAAGCAGAUUUGGCUAAUAAAAAGAGAAAGGCAACACAUGGGCAAAGGAAACACACACACAUGGGCAGAAGAUGGGUGGAUUGUUGGCUGAAAUAAUGAAGAACAUGUGUAUGCAAAUGCAAAGGAAAAACACACACACAUGGGCAAAGGAAACACACACACAUGGGCAAAGGAAACACACACACAUGGGUAGGAAUUGUGUGUGUUUUGUGGUUGAAAUGAUGAAGCAUGUGUGUGUAAAUGUAAAGGAAAACAUGGCAGAAAAUGUGUGUGUUUGGUGGUUGAAAUGAUGAAGCAUGUGUGUGUAAAUGUAAAGGGGAAACAUGACAACACACACCCACACAAGCUGCACAUGCAAAGGAAAUGGAGUGGUCCUCUCUCAAGCCUAUAAAUACCACCUCCCAUAUUCAUCAACAUAACAGAUUUUCUCCUUGCUUUGGCCGAAACUUCCCACCACCAUUCUCUCUAAUUUCAGCCAAAAACCACCCCUAGCCACACUACCCAUCAAUCCUAAACCUUUCCAUACCAUUCCCCAUCCAUUCUACACCAUAAAAACCACCAAAAAACCGUCCAAAAACCUCUAGUGCCGCUGCUUGCAAGGAAGGAAAGAGAAGGAACAUCUUGUGCCGUGCCUAUGCCCAAGCCUUGGGAGUGUUGGAGCGUUUCUAGGUGUUUUCUAUCUUUGUUUUUAAUGUCUAAAUUUAUGCAUCUUUUGCUUUGUAAGUAUGAGGAAACUAAACCCCUCUUAGUUAGGGGGUGAUUCGAAACUAUGUUCAUGCUUGCAAUAUGAUUUGAUUACAUCCUGUUGUGAUUCAUAAGUUGUGAAUUCAAUUUACUUAUCCGUUCGUAUAAAAACUGAUUUGUGUAUGUUGGUUGAGAGUGCACGCUUAAUUUUCAUGCAUGAAUUUGACGCUAGAAUAUAAGGGAGUUUCACCUAAUCGUUAUGAACUUAUAUUCACAAGUAGUGAAGGUUGCUAGUCACAAUCACGUUAAGUAAAUUCUUGGCAUAAGUUUCAUGCAAAUCAUAGUAACGAGUGCGUCGUCAAUGCUUAUGUUUUUCAUAGAACUUAAUGAUUCUUGCUUGUAUCUCUAUUAUGCAAUUCAUGUAGGGAACUUGUAGGGAAUGUUUUGGGUUGUCGUAUGCAAUCAUCCAACCUAAUAACUUGUGGAAAAACUGAGGGUUAAUUAGUGCAAUUCACGGUUAAUUUGGGGCGUUGAGUAUUCAUAGUUUAUCGAAAAGCAACUGGAAAUCGUUUUGUAUGCAAGUGUGACAUGUGUGGAGAAGAACCUCCUAACUAGCCUUCCAUCCAUAAGUUUCAUUCAAAUUCAUUUACAAUCUGUUUUGUUUUACAAAGUUUGUUUUGUUUUCAAAUUCGUCAAGAACCAAUCUCCCAUUUAUUUCAAAGUGUUAGAUUAGUUAGUAAUCACUUUAGUUUGUGUUUUUAAGUGUCUUGAGUCAAGUCAUAACCCAAUUUCGUCCAAUUUAGUGUUAGGUGUUCAAAACUGCCCAGAAAGUGUUUUUAAGGCAGUUUUGAGUGUUUAUUUGCUGUUUUGAAUCUUUUUGUUUAUCUUAGUAUUUUAAAGUAUAGUUUUGCAUUCUUUGAGUCUAGUUUAGUGUUUUAAACUUUGUUUUUACGUUUUCAAGUCAGUUUCCAAGUGAUUUAGCAAUCCCUCCUAAUCCCCGACCUAGAACGAUCCCUACUUACAUACUUUACUACAUUUGAUAAAAAGAGGGUUUAAUUUGUGUACUUAUAUAUAUCGCAUCAAGAAGCACCUGCGGGUACUAUAUUCGAUUCCAUACAAGUACCAUUGGAAGAUGAAUUUGGAAUCAUGGCUGAGAACCUUGGAAGGAAGGGAAAAUCUGUUAAUGGUGUAGGUCUUUUUUCUCGUACGGAUACCUUUAGUUGCGUUUCUUCUAUGGCUUCAAUUUCUGAGUUAACUGAUAUGAGAGAUCAGAUCAAGAUUCUAUCAGAUGGUUUCCUCAAAUUUACAAAAUGAUGAUGAAACCUUGGCAUAAAAAAUUAAGGCUUUUUUAGCUGCAAGUUAGGGGCAGACCAGCAACAACUCGAAGGAAUCUGAUGGUAAUAACUCAUCUAGUGAAAAUGUUUAUCUUAAACUGGAAGAACAUGACUUGGAAGAAGAAUGAUUUCGAUAGUUAUGUCUUUUGUUAUUAGUUAAGUAUGCACAUGGUAGACCUUUUUGUUAGCACCUCAAUGUGUCUUAGACUUUUCUUUUGUUAAUUAGUACCUUAAACAGUCCAUGUAUAGGCCUUGGUACCUUUAUUCACAAAUUGCUAUUAUUAAGAUAGGUCACCACGAGUUAGAUUGAUUUUGGGAUGUUUAAGUUAUUUUGUUGGAUGUGUAGUUGUUGAACAUAUUCGAACUUAUGUGGUUUAAUUGUUGAUUAAUGAAAAUGGGAAGUAUUACUUUAUAAUUGUUAUGAGUUGCUAUUCUAGAUUACGAAACAUGAAUAAGUAAUGAAUUCCUCAAAUAUUAUUCCUAAAUAGUUAUUUGAUUAUAAUAUAAGUGACAUAAGCUGCUUCACCCAUCAAAAGAAUAUGUGACGAUUUCAAUGUCACUUAGUGUAAUUAUAUAAUUCUGGGAUCAUAUUGAGUGACCUAAAUAGCAUCACUUAUAAGUCUGAUAUGAGACAAAAAACAUAGGUCACUAAAUUUUGUAUUUUUUGACGCUAAUUUCGUCACAUAUUAGAAUAAUAAGUGAUGGAAGAAGUGUCACGUAAAAGAAAAAUAUGUGGCGACUCCAAUAUUCGUCACUUAAACUAUCAGUGAUGCUAAUUGUGACACUGAAAUUUCAUCACAUAUAGUCAAAUGUGACGAUUUUUCAUAUUUAUGUGACGAAUGUUGGUCGUCACAAAAGCUAUGUUUUCUUGUAGUGUGAAGAUAUACUCAAUUUAAGUAAGUAAUCUUUAUUUAAAUCAAUUAGGGAUAUUUAUUCCAUUAUCUCAAGAUAGUAUUUCCUAUUUAAUAUCUUGAGAAUAUUAUCCAUAAACUUUGGCCAAUAGGAUGCCGCCAUGUGUAGGGUAAAACCCUAACACCAUGGCUAGCCACUCCCCUAUAAAUACUUCCAUCUCUACCAAAUUUUGGUAAGCUUUUACAACCCAAAAAAGCUCUAAACACUUACUCUUUUUCAAUGAAACUAACUUAGGCAUUGGAGAUCUAUUGGCCUAACCCUCCUCCCACCUCGUGGGCGCGUGAGGCUUAGGUCAUUGAUCAAAUGUGUCGAUUGUUUUGCAGGUACAUUUUCGUUCAAGCUAGAGACGGCGGAAAUUUGCAUUGAUAUCAUCCACACUGGAAAGGGUUUUGUUGGUCCCAUCUUUAUUAGAGAGUCGUAUAGACGUGAAUAUGAAAAAUAUGGUAAGAGUUUGUUGCCCUAUUAUUCUUAAGCGCUUUGGCUUUUCUCAGCAGCUUCCUUCUUCUUGAGCAUGGCAUUCGCUUGUCUCCACUUAUGGUAUUUGCCAAACAAGAGCUCCAUAUCUUCGAGGGUUCGGCCUUGUGUUUCUGGCAGCAUUGUGUAAAAGAAUAUAAAAGCAAUCGACGAAGUUCCGGCAUAAAGGAAGAAGGCGCCACCGAUCGUGAUGGCCUUAUACAAUGAAAUAAAAGUCAUGGAGAUGACUCCGCUCAUCACCCUAUUCAUGGCCACUCCCAUAGCGCACCCUUGCGCGCGCGGAGCUGCAGCGGGUAGAUCUCUGAGCUGUAGACCCAGGUGACGGGUCCAAGCCCGAUGAGAAAAAAACGCAACGUUGAACAUUACCAUCGCAAUGCACAGAGCGACGGCCCAUUGGACCUUGCCGUGGGAAUGAUCGACGACUGUAAGGCCCACACCGAGCAAUGUGAGAGAGAAGAUCAUUCCACCCACACUGGUCAAAAGCAAAGGACGACGUCCGAACUUGUCAAGCAUAAAGGUGGCGACCAGGAUGAAAAUGGUCUUGACAACUCCAACGGCUACGGUUGCAAGUAGUUUGUCAUUGUAGGAAGUGAUUCCGGCCUUCUCGAAGAUCCUGGGGCUGUACAACACGACGGAGUCAAUACCGGAGAUUUGCUGGAAGAAGUGGAUACCAACUCCCACGAUCAAAAUAUGGCGGACAGCUGGGGUGGGCCGAACGAUCAAGUCUUUCCAUACGCCUUCACCUUUGCUUUUCUUCGAAACCUGAACGAUAUCCUCGUUGGACUCUUUUGGGAUUCCAGCGGCCUCUUUGAUCUCGUCUAGUCUGAGCUGAGCCUCCUCAUGGGUACAAGAAGUUUUGUUCAGGACUUUCCUGGCGUCUCCGAGUCGCCCCUGCAUGACGAGCCAGCGUGGUGACUCAGGCAUGCCUAGGACGCCGACGGCGAGGAAAAGAGAGGGAACUGCGCCAAGGCCGAGCAUGAUCCUCCAGUUCAAGUGGAUCGGGAGAUUGGACAAGGCAUAGUUGGAUACGUACCCAAGUAAUAUACCAACAUUAACAAACACCUGCAUAUUUUGAAACAAAUCAAAUUUAUUGAUUCAUAUUUUCCUACAAGUGGAUUAAUUAUACAAUGAGAUAAUCAAGCAAAGAAACAGACCUCAGGGAAAGAUGUGAGGAGGCCACGGAAUGAGGCUGGAGAGAUUUCGGCUGUAUAGACAGGAGCUAUCAUAAGAGCGUAACCAACUCCAACUCCAGCAAUAAAUCGGCCGAACAUGAGGAAGGCGUAGUUGGGGGCAAAUCCCAUCAGGAGGGCUCCAGCAAAGAAGAUGGCUCCAGAGAGGACAAUGGUGUAUCGUCGGCCAAUCCAAUCGGAUGUUCUUCCUGCCAAGGCGGAACCGAUGAGGGAGUACAGGUUCAGAGUACCGUUGAGGACUUCAACUUGUACGUCGGUGAUUUUCAGGUUUUCUUUGAUGAAGAGUGAUGCUCCACUCAUCACACCAAUAUCUGUAUGUAAAAAUGACAUCGACGUCAUUGCACGCGGAGAUCAGACAACGUAAUAACACACAUGAAAAGGAAAAAAAUACCAAAAGAAAAAUACACAUGCAUGAGGUAAAUGGACAAUUAAAUUUACCAUAGCCCAGCAAGAUUGAAGUCAUUGAAGCCAAAGUGGCACAGGCAAUAGCGAACUUCUUUGUCUUCGCGGCCUUUGGGGGAUCAAAGUCCGCAAUAGUCUUCUGGCCUGAGGCUUCAGUAUUUUGAGGUUUCCGGUCAGCCAUCUCCAUUGUUAUAGCUAGCUAGAGAUCGAUAGACAAAUAGACAGACAGAACACAGAGAGAUCACUUGUCAAUGAAAGAAUAUGC
rnacentral:lncRNA from 1 species